GGGCGCUUCCUCCACUUCCUACCACAUUGCCAACAGGACUGCCCCCUCUGCCAAGCAUUCCCUCAGUCCCCACAAUCCCAACUGUAAUUCCCCAUAUUCCUUUCUCUUUUCCACCAUUGCCAUAUUUCCCUAAUCUCCCAAACCCUGGGGCGCUUCCUCCACUUCCUACCACAUUGCCAAGAGGACUGCCCCCUCUGCCAAGCAUUCCUUCAGUCCCCACAACCCCAACUACAGUUCCCUCUAUUCCUUUCUUUUCUCUACCACCUUCUCAUUCUACUUUUUGACGUACCCUAUUUUUUUAUCUGCUGCAUACUGGAUCUGGUUUAAUAAGGUUUUUAGUCAUCUUUGUGUCUUUAUUAUGAGUAUUGAUUUUGCCCACUUAUAUUUGUUUGUAUAAAUGGGACUUCUCCAAUUCUCAUUAUUUGAUGUACUUUGAUACGUUGUUGCUUAUUAUAUAUGGGGUAUUUAUAUAUUGAUAUUCUGUCAAUGAAGUAAUUAAUUAAUGUUAUGAGUUUGGCUAAUUAAGAAAAGAAUCAAACGAUAAAUGCAGUCAAGAUAAUGAGCAGCGUACAUCGAGAAGAUGUCACUGUUGAUAUAAUGAUUCCUGCUUCAUUAUCUCUUCCAAGUUAUCCAUUUACAUACGAUUACUUUCCUCUUUCAAUAUAUUUCCAAGAUAAUAUUUUAUAUGAAUGUCUUUAAAUUAGGGUAGUCAAUUUCAUACAGAUUUCGGUUAUACUAAUUUGUGUGCAUUGUUUCAAUUUUAUACCAAAAUAUUAAUGUUUUUGAAAUUAGAUCGAUAAUCAAAUCAAUCAAUUCAUUCAUUUUUGAUUCAAUAGAUUCAACCAUCAAUACAAUUAAUUUACUAUUCAACAAUAUAAAAUAAUAUUAAUUAUUAAAAACCCCAAACUCCUCUUUUUUUAAGGCUUUGAAUUUUAAAAUCCUCUCCCCAUCUUUCAUCUUUCCUAAUUUAUCUUCUUCUUUUUUCCCUUUGAUUGAAUGUUAUAUGUCCAUCUUAAUUUUUUACCAGCAAAAAAAACUUAUUUUAGUAGAAAAAGUAAGAAAAGAAAUGGUGGUUAUUUUUUUAUGUUAGUGUUUUAUUUCAUUGAGUGCAAAGAUGAAGUGUAACAAAAGGUCAAGGGAUUUGAAGUGAAAUUUUUAUUUUUCCAAUUUAGAAAAUGUGAAAAUACGGCUUAAUCGGCUGAUGAUUUGCAGUUUAACUGUAGUUUACUCUAGUUCUCGUGCUCAUUGGUUCUUAGUCUGUUUGGUUAGGUUCUAAUUAACAUUGCGAAACACCCAACCCCAUUUUUCUACACUAGUGAAAAUUUCGGUCUGUAACACCCUAAAACCGGCCUAGACGUCCAAACCAAGUUGGAGAGUGACAUCAACUGUUCUAAAAGCCAUACCACCAUAACGCAAUCAAAUUAAACAAGUCGUCACACAUUAUUCAUCACAAUAGUAAUUUAAAUACAUAAUCUUCAUAAAUCAAUAACAUCAUAAAACAAAUAUCCCUAAUAAUAAAGCUAGCAGAAUAUCAAUAAGUGUCUGACCAAGCUUCCGCGACACCGCUCCAAUCAAGACUGAUUACCACCUGAAACCCAAGCAAUAAUAGAGUGAGUUAUGAGCUCGGUGCGUAAAAAGGAAUGUAAUUCAACAACGGUGACUUAUGGAGAAUAUCCAGUUCAGAGAUUCAGUUCAUCCUAGAAGCAUGUUUGAUCUAGGCUCAGAGUAGAGGUAUUACAUAUGUAUACAUGUAUUAUUCUAGUUCAAAUAUAGUUCAGAUCAGAUUUGGAUGCAAUGUUUCUAUUUCCAUCCUUUACACACCAACUUUUACCAUCCCAACACACCACUAUGGACAUUUAUUUCCCAUCCAUCCCUACACACCUUUAAAGUGUUCAAUGACACUUUUACAGAAACAUAGCUUAGCUGUUAGUUCAAUGUGCGACAAGUGCUAGAAUCAAAGUGAUACUUAUUAUGGCAUAGCCAUGUUUUCAGUACAGAAUCACCUUCUUCCUCACAAUCUCCCACCACAUGUUAAUUCAUAAUACAAUAAUCCGUAACACAUGUUUAGCCAUUCUGAUAAAAUACAUAAUUAAUAAAACAGUUCAAUAACAAAGUGGUGUUACAGUGCAUAUUCAAGAAUGUGAUUCACAGAUAAGUCUCAUGUAAGCAAAUUCAGUCAUUCCUAAAUAAAGGAAACCAAUAUCAGAGUUUAGCACCCUUCUCAGCCUCAAAAAAAGUUUUUCGGAUCCAACAUCCUGCCACACGGCCUGGGCCUGGUUUUCACACUUGAAACAGUGAGUUACACGGUCUGGGCACACGCCCAUGUCCCUGGCCAUGUAGACCAUGCACUAAAAUGGUCACACACGGCCUAAAUACACAUCCAUGUGGUCUUAAUUCAAUAAACAGUAAGUUACACAACCGUUCACACGGCCUACCACAUGUUCGUAUGGCACACAAGGCCUAGUUACACGCCCGUGUGCCUACCGUGUGGCGUUGACAGCCACCAUUUUCAACGACAAAACUUGCAAAAACUAAGGUUUCUGAUAUGCACCUGAGAUGAUUUCAAAGUAGUGACAAUGAAGAGGAGUUUCGAAUCCUAAAAUGACCAUUCAAUAACUCAGUGAAUCAAGUUUAUCAACAACAAUGCACAAUUAUACUCAAAAUACCUAUGUCGAAAGUUUUGACACCAACUUUCAAUGAAAUCAAUACUUACAGAAAAUUAACGACGAUUACUCGAAUUGACUUGCUGAGGUUCGCUACUCUCAAUAUCCCCGCCUAACAGGGAAACCAAAUGAUUGACUAUCAGAGAUUCACGCAACACACUCAAACAACCAUCUCAAAGUAUACUAUGUAAAGCAAAAAGAGAAAACAUGAAAUUUAACGAUUCGACAUCAAAACUUACUCAAUAAACUCCCAACAGAGAAUGCUAACAACGUGACUUCAACUAGUCUGCAUUCCUUACAACAAUUAAAGAGGAAAAGGGAAAAUUGAAAAAGAUGAAAAAGUAGCGAAAAAAGAAAAAUAAAAAGGAAAAAAAAUAAUAGGAAAGAAGAACUAACGUUAAUUGAUUAUCAAUUAACUUCCAUUCAGUCUUCCAAUGUUUAGCAAAAAUAUUUUCCUUACGCAUACUACGAGAUUCGAACUCAGAACCAGAUAGAAUAUAGAUAGAUGUUUAACCAGUAAAACAACAGGCUCAUUCUUGCCACGCUUUUACAGAGAAUUGAACUUAAGAGAGUAGUGUGUGCCUAUAGGUUGAUUCUAAAACAAAAAAACUUUUAAUGAUGCGACUUGAACUUCAGACCUUAAACUUAAUCGCAGAACACAAAGCAAUAGAUACAAAAAUUAGGUACUGUAGAUUUUUACAGACAAGUUCAUAAAAUUUUAGGGCAUUACAACUUUUUCCCCUUAAAGGAAAUUUUGGCCUCGAAAUUUUUACCUAAGUCGAACAGAUAUGGAUACAGCCAUCGAAUAGAUUCCUCCAGCUCCCACAUGGCUUCCACAGUACCGAGAUUCUGCUAGAGAACCUUCACUAGAGGAAUAGUUUUUUUCCUUAGUUUCUUAACGUCAUAUUCCAAGAUUUGAAUAGGCUUUACCUCAAAUGUCAAGUCUGGUCGUAACUCGACCUCGUCAAUCGUAACAAUAUAUGAUGGAUUCAAUUGGUACCGUCUCAACAUCAAGACAUGAAACACAUCAUGAAUCUGGUCCAGUGUCGUCGGUAACUCUAAAUUGUAAGCAACAGGUCCAACUUACUUUAAAAUACGGUAAGGCCUUAUAAAUCUCGGGCUUAGCUGGUCUUUAUGUCUAAAUCAGAGGACCUUUUUCCAAGGUGAUACCUUUAGAAACACUUCAUCACCUACCGAAAGCUCAAUAUCCUUUCUUUUUAAACCUGCAUAAGACUUUUGUUGAUCAGACACAACUUUCAGUUCAUCCUGAAUUACUUUCACAAUGCUCUCAGUUUCAAAAACCAGCUCAGGACCCAAUAUACGGCAUUCACUCAACUCCGUCCAACAUAAUAGAGUACGGUACUUACGACCAUAUAAAGCUUCGGGAGGUGCCAUCUGAAUACUAGACUGAAAGUUAUUGUUGUAAGCAAACUCCGUUAAUGGUAGAUACUCUUCCCAACUACCUCUGAAAUCUAUCACACAACCUCGAAGCAUAUCUUUUAGGAUUUGAAUGACUCGUUCCGACUGUCCGUCGGUCUAAGGGUGAUAUGUAGUAUUGAAAUUAAUUAGAGUGCCUAAAGCCUCAUUAAGUUUCUUCCAAAAUCCAGACGUAAAUUGCAGAUCUCUAUUGGAAAUAAUCGAGACAGGAAUUUCGUGUAGCCUCACAAUCUCGGCGAUAUAUAGUUUAGCUAACUUCUACAAUGAAUAAUCCAUUCAGAUAGGAAUAAAAUGAGCCGAUUUGGUCAACCGAUCAAUUAUGACCCAAACUGAAUCCUUUUUAGUAAGAGUUAAGGGCAACCCUAUACCAAAAUCCAUUGCUACCUCAUAAGCCAUAAUUUAUACAUAGUUUUACCUCAUUCUUAGCAUAUUUUUGGAUGAAUUAUCCUUAGAUUUGGUGAAUCCGAUGCUCCUAAUCUUUUAAUUUCACGUUUUAUACUUAGGUGAGCAUAGGAGAGUAAAAAGAGUGACAAACGGGCCAAAAAUAGAGAAAAUGGACCAACAUGGGAAAUCAAUACGGCCUGGACUUCCUCAUACAGGUAAGCCAUACGGCCGUGUCCAUUUGGAAGAAUCAAAGCACAACUUAUACGGGUAGACCACAUGCCCGUGCCUAUGUAACAGCCUUGAACACGGAUUAAAAAAAUUGCACACGGGUGUGUCCCUAUCGAGCCCAAGUUUAGUUCUAUUAGGAAAAGGCCACUCUUGAGGGUGUUUAGGCAUUCUAAAGCCUAUUUAAACACCUGAUGAGGCACUUAGAAGAGACACACAGAGUAGGAGGCAAGGAAUUACUCAAGGAAAGCCGAUUGAUCCAUCUCAGAAGCUGGAUUCAUCGUCAAGACUGAAGAUCUCCCUUCAAUUUCCUUUAGGAGUUUUAGGUUUUCUUUAUGUUUUUUUAUCUUUAUUCUUUUGAGAUGUUUUUUUUUCCAUUAUUAUGAACUAAACCCCCUAAAUACCUAAGGGGAAUGAAACCUAAGACGGAUCUUGUUAUUAUUAUCUAAAUUGUAUGAUAAAUAUUUGACUUUUUCUUAAUUAUGUGUUCUUAAUUCUUAUGUUAAUAUUCCAGGAUAUUGAUUCAAGUUAAUGCGCUUAUUCAGAGGAGCAAAAGUCUCUGUCUAAGAGUAAAUUUGUCAUAAUUAAGUAGAGUUCAUUGCAUGCCUAGAGAUAGGGUGACAAGAUUUUGCCGGAUUAGGGUGAAACCUAAUAAGGGAGUCCAUAGAUCGAGUUAAUGCAACAUUAGGGUGUUAAUUAAAAAGAGAUUUCAAUUAACCAACCUAGGGUUAGACGUUAUUAGUCCCGAGAGAUAUAAUAAUAUAACUUAGGGAUUUCUACGGAUCAAGUCAAAUGAAUAAAUCAUCUGAUUUAGAGUCAAAUAACAAGUAAAGUCUAGGUGGAUUUUUCCUUGGGUAUUGUCUUAAUCAAUCGAGUUUUCCCAAAAGCUUUUCCCCAAUUUUCUCUCUGUGCACCCUUAGUUUAGUUACUUAGUUUAGAUAAACAAAUCCCUUAAUUUUUAGGCUAGAUAAUAAAAAGAAAGUAAUUACUAGUACUCUUGGUUCCUUUAGGUUCGACAAUCCGGUCUUGCUAAAGCUAUACUACUGUUCGAUAGGUACACUUUCCUUCAUCAUGAUAAUAGUUAGUUUCAAGAACAGUCAAUUAUAAAUUUUUUAAAACUUAUCGCGACGAGCAGAUCAAGUUUUUGGCGCCGUUGCCGGGGAACUAAGAUAUUAGAAACACUCAAUUUUUAUUACUUUAGCCGUUUUACUUUAUUUGCAAUUUAAAUUUUUAUUUUCUUUUCUAAUUUUCUCUUUUAUUCACUUCUAGCAGGUUUUUUUAUAUUGUAUGACUAGAAGAAACCCGUCGGGACCAUUACUUUUUGAUAGUGAGGUCGAUUGCACAGCUCGUAGAAACCGAAGAGAAAUAAGGCGAAGCUUAAGAGACACAGAGGAAGAGCAAGAGGACGAUAUUCAAACCACAACCGAGGAGAUGGAUGAAAAUCAAGAAAAUCCGCUACCUCCUACGAUUGUUUGUAACACCCCUCACUCGUAUCCAACGCCAGGAUACGGUUCGAGAUAUUACCAAACUUAAACAUUCACAACAUGCAAAAUCGGGCCACAAAAUUAUCACCAAAAAUUAAAACAUCUCGAACACAUGCAUAUCGUCCCUUAUAUAGGUCUUUGAAACUUAUAACAUACAUUGAGGUGUUUUGGGACUAAACCAAGAACUUUGAAAAUCUUUGGGCAAUUUAACUAAAUUUUCUUGCUUCGGAGAGUCACACGCCCGUGUGGAUUGGGCCGUGUGGUCACACACGUCGGUGUGGCUUGGGACACGCCCGUGUCCUGUGCCUAUGGAGCUCUCUGUCCAUUUGGUCAUGAACAAGUUAGGGUCACACAGCCAAGGCACACGCCCGUGUAUCUUUCCGUGUGGACAAUUUCAAGGCUAUUUUCCAAGCCAAUUGUCACCCUUAAUUACCUACAUACACUUAUACAUUUUAUAGCAAUUGACAUUGCAUAUUUGAGUAAUUAUAUAUAUCCACAAUCAAGGCACAAGCAUGGUAUUCUCAUAACAACACAUAACAUAUUACCAACCAUGCAUGGCAAACAAGCAUAUGCACAUCACCAAUAUCAGACAUAACAUGAAUAGCUAGAUUUAUAAGUCAGAAUCAUUAGCUCACUAAAGACCAAUAUAUUUGGUCAAAUUAUAAUAACACAUGUUAUAAAACUAGGUCCCUAUACAUGCCACUCACUUGAUAAUUCUAGCAUAUUUGUUUAUACUCUCAAGGUGUUGGUUUGAUAGUGUGAUGCUACCUACGACGAUCUCUAAACCCGAGCUAACCUGACAACACUAAAAGAAAUGGAAAGGAGGGGGUAAUUUUUACGCUUAGUAAGUUCGUAUGAAAAUAAUAAGCAAUUUACUAACAUGCUUUCCAUAGUAGCAUUAUCUCAAUUGUACAUUUACACAUGUUCUGGUUAAGCUAUUUUCUUGAGUCAUAGUCACUAAAUCAUUUAUAUCUGGAGCUACAGAACUUCAAAUUAAGAUCCUUAAAUGUUCCCAGAAACUAGACUCACAUAUAUUUCCACCAUAAAAUUUUCAGAAUUUUUUAUCUGGCCAAUAAGUACAGUUUACUAUUUAAAGUAUCCCCUAUUUUUUUGUUUGACAGCUUCGACCUUUCUUCACUAAAACUUAAUUAUCUCAUACUACGAUACUCAAAUAAUGUUCUUGUCUCUUUCUCUUGAAAUUAGACUCAUUAAUUAUUUCAUUCAUAUGAAUUUUAACUCAUAAUUAUUUUUGUACAAUUUCUAGUGAUUUUCCAAAUUUGAGAUAGGGGAGUCUGGAAUCACUCUGACUCUGGCUCACAAGAAUUCAAAUAUCUCAUGAUACAAAAUUCUUUUGCUUUCAUCGUUUCCUUUAUGUGAAACUAGGCUUAUUAAGCUUUAAUUUCAUAUUUUAUUAAGCUUCUAACUCAAUUUCCAAUAUUUUUAGUGGAUUUUCAAAUGCAGACUAAUGCUGCUCUCCAAAUCUAUUUUGGUACAAUAUAAUGAUCACUAUCAUAAGAUCAUUUCCAACUAUCAUGAACUUACCAUUUCAUGAAUCCCUUACUCAUUUUUCACAAUAGAGCUCAAUAAUAAUAAUGAUAACAUUACUUACAUUUAUUUUUCCACACGUUACAUUUACAACUUACCAACUUGUCCAUUGAAGGAACGGCUUACGGAUUUGAGUACAUCGUGAUCUAAAGCCCGAAGUCUAGCUGAAGCACAUAAGUGCUAAAUGGAAGCCCGAAGGCUAACUGAAGCACACAAGUGCUAAAUGGAAGCCUGAAGGCUAACUGAAGCACGCAAGUGCUAAACGGAAGCCGGAAGGCUAACUUAAGCUCAUCAGAGUUGAACUGAAACCCCAAAAGGGUUAACUGAAACUCAUAUGAGUUAACGGAAGCUCGUAAGAGCUAAACGGAAAGUAAACAUGAGAAUUCGUAACAAAUGCUGAAUCUCUGUUUACUUGGGUAAUUUACUGUCAAUUCAUCUUUUUCACUGAACAAUCGUACUCAUUUCUUGCGUUCCGUUCCUCCAAAAUACUCAGUUCAAUUUCGUAACUUUUGUACAUAAUUUACUUAUUUUCAACAAUUAACAUACAUAAAUAUUAAUCAUUAUUCAUAAAAUAAUAUUAAAAUUUAAUAAUUUAACCGUACAAACUUACCUCAGAUCCAGAAAUGACAAUUUACCAUUCUAGUCCAUAACAUUGUAUUUUCCCGAUUUAAGCCCAAAUCUCGAUUUCCUUGAUUAUUAAGCUUGAAAGCUUGGCCAAACCCUAACCAUGGCUGCUCUUGGUAGAUUCUACUGUAGCAAGAAGAAAGGGACACAUUUGGGGUUUAAAAUUUGUCUUUUAAUUCAUUUUACCCUUAAAUGACCAAAAUGCCCUUUUUACUAUUCUUUCAAAUUUUACCCAACCAGGGCCAUUUUUGUCCAACAAGUUAUACAAUGGUUUAAUUAUCAUUUAAGGACUUCUCAUUUAAAAUUUCAUGACAAUUAGACACCUCUAACAUAUAAAACGCAACUUUUGCACUUUUUAUAAUUUAGUCCUUUUUACUAAAUUGAGUGCCCAAACGUCGAAAUUUUCGAACGAGAUUUUCACAAAAUCAUUCCGGGAAAUCGUAGACCAUAAAAAUAUAAUAAAAAUGAAAUUUUCCUCAUCAAAUUUGUGAUCCUGAAACCACUGUUCCGAUUAAGUCCAAAAUCGGGAUGUUACAUUUCUCCCCCUUUAGGGAUUUUCGUCCCCGAAAAUCUCACCAGAAAAGUGGUUUUGGUGUUUCACUUGGAUUCUUCAAUCCUAUAAUUGAUGUCAAAGAACUUUCACUCAGGCUAAACUUUUACUACAUAUCUCUUUAAAUUUUACAUACAAAAAUCAUAAGUGGUAUUCACUUUACAAUACUUUUACUGAAACUUAAUCUCUACCAGAAAGCUUAUGCACUCAAAAGUCCGAUCCAUACCAUCAUGUUACAUAUACAUUCACACCCGAAUCUUUUCAGAUUCGAAUAGUAAAACUAAUCAGUUCAUCUCAACCUCAUACUUUUUAUAAUUUCACACAAUCCAAUUAUUUGUCAAUUCAACCCUCAGCUGCUCUUUAUUCCAAGCCUCUUCUGGCUUUCCAAAGAAAUCAUGAUAUGAAACUCGGAUCUCAAUCCAAUUAGUGGAGAUUAAAAUUCCAUUAUAUCCAAAAUUCAUAAAGACACGAAAUUCUAUGAAUCUGGUGAGCAGACAUUCGGGUAUACCAACAUAAUUUACACAUCUCAUAACGUUUAACAACGCUACAUAUCACUUUCCUCUUUCAAGGACAGGAAUGAUCCAAACAAGAAAAUCCAUAUUAACCUUUUCUAUUUCCAUUCUAAUUCCCAAACGGCAAAAAUAAUUCUGAUGAUUCUUGCUAUCAAUUUCAACAUUUCAAGAAUUUGUACUCAAAGAUAAACAAUGAUCGUUUCAGCAUUUUUAAAUACCCAGAUUAUCUUCACAUUAUUAAUAUCAGAUCUUCUUAUCGCAUACGAUUCUUCUAGGAAACAUACACUUCUUAAUUAGUUAUUUGUCUUUUUACCCACGAAGAAAUAAAAUCUUAUUCUCAAGCAUGCACAUCUCAUUAAAUUCUAAACAUAUAUUCCAUACAGAUUGAACAAUCAAGUUGACCUUAUUCAUUUGUAAUUGAUAUUUCAAGAAAUUGUCUCUUCUAGUCAACAGAACGAUUCAACAUGCAUCAUUCCAAAUUCACUCAUCAUGCCAAUCAAAAACCAUAACAAAUGCAUUAGCAUAAGUAAUACUGAUACCUCUACUGAAUACAUUAACUCUAAUUAACUUACUUGAGAAAGGAAAUCCACCAUACACAUUAGGACUUGAAAUUUCACCACAUUAUCAAGAUCAAUUCAGAGUUAGAUCAAUUCAGAGUUAUAGUCAUACUUGUUCUUUAUAUACAUCAAUCACAAGCUGGAGGUCAUGCUCUAAAUGCAAGGCAUGAUCAAAAAGUUACAAGAUAAAAUAUCCAGAAAACCCAAGAUAGAGAAAUCUGAAACGAAGAAGCCCAGAAUAAAGAAAUCCAAGAUAAAGAAAUCCAUGAUAAGGAAAUCCCAUUUACAGCACUGCAUCAGAAGACCGAGAACUAGACUCAAAAAUAUGAAAGACCCCAAUGGUUUUUCAAAGAAAAGAAAUCCAGAAUAACAUCAUUCCAAAACACUAACAACAAAUACAACCAUAACUAUAUGCUUCUCAUAUAUAUAUAAUCAAUCAGAGCAAUGAUCGGUAGAAAUAGAAUCACGGCACCAUACACAAUUUCUCAUCGAUUCCCAACAGGUGAAAUAUAACAAAAUACUAGAGGAAGACAGAACCAUGCAUAUUAUAAUCCAAUCAGACUGACAACACAUUCGUCUAACAUUAAGAUCAGGGAACAUUUUCAUAAUAUAAGAAUUCAUCAGGGAUUAGAUAGCCCCAAUAAUAUUUCCGGUGUCAGAUAGUCUCAUACCAUAUCUCAAUAGAGACAAUCACAAAUUGUUCACUGUAAUUACCAUGCUUGGACAUUUCAUAUUUCGAACAUUAUUCCUUUAACUAUUUCUGCCAUCCCAAAUUCCAUAAUAUUCCAUUUACUAAGAAAACCAAUUCAUGAGGGAAUUUCAAUCAAUACAUUUCUCGACAUCAUACCAAGAUAGAUCGUUUUACCAAAAUUAACCUUUUUCACUAACUGCGAUGUUGCGAAAAUUAAACAAUUUUUCGGUCAAUCCGAUAUCUUUCUAGCUCAUGUCUGUACUUAUCAACCCAUUCUCAAUCUCUAAUCAUGCUUAUAACCAUUCCAUCAAAAUCAUUCAACAUAAAUAUCAAGAAUUUCCAUUAUAAAACACCACUUUGGUAAGGGGAAGAGGGUCAUAGGGCCUCUGACUCAACUCUCAUAUAUAUAUACACGUAACACAGUUUUCAUCAUAGCAAUCAUAUCUCAAUCAUGUCAUUCAUUUCGAGUAACUAACAUUCAUAUUGAUUUUACACCCACUUUCCAGUUAUCUCAUCUAAACAAGUGUACUUAUACAUGUAAUUCCAUGUUUCCUAGAUAAUCUUACUUAUCCAUUCAUUAAAUCAGACAAGUCAAGCACAUAAUAUCAUAUAAGGGCCAAACAAACAUGGAUAAGUAUAUAACAGUCAAAACUUUCAUCUUACACAUCAUCGUAUAAAUAUCAUUACAAUCAUAUAUAUCAGUCCAAACAAUUUAAUACAUUUACUCAAGUUAUAUGAGCUUACCAAUCAUAAUCAUCCCAACCAAUAAACAUGAAUAUUCAUCUUAUCAAUAUUUUUGAUAAGUUACUCAAACACAUGCAUUUGUUCAAAUAAAUCGAUCAUAUACAUCAUAGAAUUAUCUAUUAAUCAUAGAUAAGCUCAUUUCACCAUGUACACAUGUCAUGAAUCCUCAUUCGUACCUUUCCAAGUUUCAGUUCAUCAUGACUAUACUUUACUCGAAUAUUUUAGCAUCACAUUCAACAUGGUUGGUGUAGCUCAGUUGGAGAGUACCUUUGUCUAAACAAAGUGGCUCUCAUACACGUCAGAAGACAUUACACUAUCAUGGAUCGGUGGCAUGUAUAGCUGGACUUUUACACAUGCUAGGCUAGUCCGAGAAAUGACUAAACCAUAGCUUUGAUACCACUAAAUGUAACACCUCUCACCCGUAUCCAACGCCGGGAUAAGGUUCGAAGAGUUACCGGACUUAAACAUUCACAACAUGCAAAAUCGGGCCACAAAAUUUUUACCAAAAUUAAAACAUCUCGAACACAUGCAUAUCGUCCCUUAUAUAGGACUUCGAAAUCUAUAACAUACAUUGAGGUGGUUCGGGACUAAACCAGGAACUUUGAAAAUCUUUGGGCAACUUAACUAAAUUUUCUUGUUUUUGAGAGUCAUACACCCAUGUGGAUUGGGUCGUGUGGUCACGCACGUCCGUGUGGCUUGGGACACGCUCGUGUCCUGUGCCCAUGGAGCUCUCUAUCCAUUUGGUCAUGAAUAAGUUAGGGUCACACGGCCAAGGCACACGCCCGUGUAUCUUUCCGUGUGGACAGUUUCAAGGCUAUUUUCCAAGCCAAUUGUCACCCUUAAUUACCUACAUACACUUAUACAUUUCAAGCAAUUAACAUGACAUAUUUGAGUAAUUAUAUAUGUCCACAAUCAAGACACAAGCAUGGCAUUCUCAUAACAACACAUAACAUAUUACCAACCAUGCAUGGCAAACAAGCAUAUGCACAUCACCAAUAUCAGACAUAACAUGAAUAGCUAGAUUUAUAAGUCAGAAUCAUUAGCUCACUAAAGACUAAUAUAUUUGGCCAAAUUAUAAUAACACAUGUUAUAAAACUAGGUCCCUAUACAUGCCACUCACUUGAUAAUUCUAGCAUAUUUGUUUAUACUCUCAAGGUGUUGGUUUGAUAGUGUGAUGCUGCCUCCGACGAUCUCCAACCCUGAGCCAACCUGACAACACUAAAAGAAAUGGAAAUGAGGGGGUAAGUUUUACGCUUAGUAAGCUCACAUGAAAAUAAUAAGCAAUUUAUUAACAUGCUUUCCAUAGUAAAACUAUCCCAAUUGUACAUUUACACAUGUUUUGGUUAAGCUGGUUUCUUGAGUCACAGUCACUAAAUCAUUUAUAUCUAGAGAUUCGGAACUUCAAAUUAAUAUUCAUAAAUUUUCCCAGAAACUAGACUCAUAUAUCUUUACACUAAAAUUUUUUUCAAAAUUUUUGGUCUAGCCAAUAAGUACAGUUUAUUAUUUAAAUUAUCCUUUAUUUUUUGUUUGACAACUUUGACCUUUCUUCACUAAAAUUUAAUUAUCUCAUAGUACGAGACUCAGAUAAUGUUCCUGUCUCUUUCUCCUAAAAGUAGGCUAGUAUUUCAUUCAUAUAAAUUUUAACUUAUAAUUAUUUUUGUACAAUUUCUUGUGAUUUUCCAAAGUUGAAACAGGGGAGUCUGGAAUCACUCCGACUCUGUCUCACAAGAAUUCAAAUAUCUCAUGAUAAAAAAUUCUUUUGCUUUCACCGUUUACUUUAUGUGAAACUAGGCUCAUUAAGCUUUAAUUUUAUAUUUUAUUAAGCUUCUAACUCAAUUUCCACUAUUUUUAGUGGAUUUUCAAAGCCGGACCAAUGCUGCUAUCCAAAUCUAUUUUGGUACAAUAUAAUGAUCACUAUCAUAAGAUCAUUUCCAACUAUCAUGAACUUACCAUUUCAUGGAUCUCUUACUCAUUUUUCACAAUGGAGCUGAAUAAUAAUAAUGAUAACAUUACUUAAAUUUAUUUUUCCACACGUUACAUUUACAACUUACCAACUUGUCCAUUCAAGGAACGGUUACGGAUUUGAGUACAUCAUUAUUUGAAGCCCAAAGUCUAGCUGAAGCACAUAAGUGCUAAACGGAAGCCCGAAGGCUAACUGAAUCACACAACUGUUAAAAGGAAGCCCGAAGGCUAACUAAAGCACAAAAGUGCUAAAUAGAAGCCCGAAGGCUAACUUAAGCUCAUCAGAGUUGAACUGAAACCCCAAAAGGGUUAACUGAAACUCAUAUGAGUUAACGGAAGCUCGUAAGAGCUAAACGAAAAGCAAACACGAGAAUUCGCAACAAAUGAUGAAUCUCAGUUUACUUGGGUAAUUUACCGUCAAUUCAUCUUUUUCACUGAACGAUCGUACUCAUUUCUUGCGUUCCAUUCGUCUGAAAUACUCAGUUCAAUUUCGUAACUUUUGUACAUAAUUUACUUAUUUUUAACAAUUAACAUACAUAAAUAUUAAUCAUUAUUCAUAAAAUAAUAUUGAAAUUUAAUAAUUUAACUGUACGAACUUACCUCGGAUCCAGAAAUGGCAAUUUACCAUUCUAGUCCAUAACCUUGUAUUUUCCCGAUUUAAGCCCAAAUCUCGAUUUCCUUGAUUAUUAAGCUUGGAAGCUUAGCCAAACCCUAACCAUGACUGCUCUUGGUACAUUCUGUUGUAGCAAGAAGAAAGGGACACAUUUGGGGUUUAAAAUUUGUCUUUUAAAUCAUUUUACCCCUACAUAACCAAAAUGCCCUUUUUACUAUUCUUUCAAAUUUUACCCAACCAAGGCCAUUUUUGUCCAACAAGUUAUACAAUGGUUUAAUUAUCAUUUAAGGACUUCUAAUUUAAAAUUUCAUGACAAUUAGACACCUCUAACAUAUAAAAACAAACUUUUGAACUUUUUACAAUUUAGUCCUUUUUACUAAAUUGAGUGCCCAAACAUCGAAAUUUUUUAUCAAAAUUUUCACGAAAUCAUUCCAUGAAAUUGUAGGCCAUAAAAAUAUAAUAAAAAUGAAAUUUUCCUCAUCGAAUUUGUGGUCUCAAAACCACUGUUCUGACUAAGCCCAAAAUCGGGAUGUUACAUUGCUGUUGAUCCAGUAAAUCAAAAUCAUGCUCCACGCACUAUGUAUGAUUAUGCUAAACCGAAUUUAACAGGAACUGAGUCAUGUAUAGUUAGGCCUGCUAUUGCUACAAAUAAUUUUGAAUUGAAACCUAACAAGACUCAAAUGAUACAGCAAUUUGUUCAGUUUGAUGGUUUGCAGGAUGAGGAUCCAAACACUCACUUGGUGAAUUCUUUAGAACUCUCUUCACAUUUAAAGUUAAUGGCGUCCCUUAUGAUGCCAUUCAUCUUUGUUUAUUUCCCUUUUCAUUAAGGAAUAAGGCUAAACAGUGAUUGAACUCGUUACCACGAGGGUCAAUUACUACUUGGGAACAAAUGACCGAAAAGUUUUUACUAAAAUAUUUCCUGCCGGCUAAAACGGCUAAAUUAAGGAAUGAUAUCUCUUCUUUUGUGCAGAUGGAUCUAGAAACACUCUACGAUGCAUGGGAGAGAUACAAGGAUCUGUUGAGAAGGUGCCCUCACCAUAGGCUACCACUCUGGCUACAGGUUCAAACUUUUCACAAUGGCCUGAAUCCUUCAACUAGACAGAUGGUUGACUCAGCCGCUAGUGGGACUAUCAAUAAUAAGACACUUGAGGAUGCUUAUGAAUUUAUAGAAGAUAUGUCACUGAAUAAUUAUUAGUGGCAAGUCAUAAUGAUAAAGCCAACGAAAGCAGCCGGCAUUUUUAACGUCGAUUCGGUCACCAUGCUCUCUAAUCUGGUAGAACUUUUGAAUAGAAAAAUGGACAGUUUUCUUGGUUCUUCACAGGUUCACCCAGUAAUGCAAUGCAAUCCAAGUGGAGGAGGGACGAGCAAUUUAGAAUACCCACUUUAUGGCUACAUCAUGGAAAAUGAGCAAUUAAAUUAUAUGGGUAAUAAUCCUUGACCUCAAAAUAAUGCUUAUAAUAACACUUACAAUGCAGGAUGGAGGAACCACCCAAAUUUCUCAUGGGGUGGCAAAGGGAAUCAGAGACCACCACCACCUCCUGGCUUCCAACAACCACUUUACCCACAAGAAAAGAAACCGAACCUUGAGGAGAUGCUAACAAAGUUUAUCUCGGUGUCAGAAAUUCACUCUCAAAUACCGAAACAGCACUUAAGAAUCAACAGGCAUCAAUCCAAGGGCUCGUAACACAGAUAGGCCAACUCUCCAAAUUGAUUUCUGAAUGACCACAAGGUAGCCUGCCAAGUAACACUGAAUCUAACCCAAGGGAACAACUCAACGCAAUUACCAUCUAAGACGAGGAAGGGUUAGUUGAACCUGAACUUGAACCGAGGCAAGGAAUUGUGGUAAGUAAAGGUAAAGACGAGGUAGACCACAGUAAGCAGAAACCGGUAAGUAAAGAGUACAAAUCACGAGUGCCAUACCCCAAUGCGACAAGGAAAUAUUGCACAGAUGAACAAUUCGGUAAAUUCCUUAAACUAUUAAAGAAAUUACACAUUAACUUACCGUUUAUUGAAGCUCUUUCGCAGAUGCCAAAUGCAGUCAAAUUCUUAAAGAAGCUUUUAGCAAAUAACAGAAGUUGGAUGAGGCGUCGUAUGUGGAGUUAAAUAUAGUUUGCUCAGCCAUUCUACAGAACAAGCUUGCCAACAAAUUGAAAGAUCUAGGGAGUUUUACGAUUCCUUAUUUAAUUGGUAGUUUAAAUGUUAAAAUGGCUGAUUUAAGGGCUAGUAUUAAUGUCAUACCCUAAAAAAUGUUUAAACAACUAGGUCUUGGGAAACCCAAACAAACUAGGAUGAGUAUUCAGUUAGCCGAUAAAGCUAUCAGAUUUCCUAGAGGUAUCAUUGAAGAUGUACUUGUAAAAAUUGAUGAAUUUAUAUUCCCAAUCGAUUUUGUUGUUCUAGACAUAGAAGAGGGUAGUAACGCACCACUAAUUCUAGGAAGGACCUUUUUAGCAACUGCUAGAACCGUUAUCGAUGUUGGUACAUGUGAACUCACACUUUGUGUGGGUGAUGACUCAGUUACUCUCCAAGCUCGUAAUCCUAUUAAUACUGACCAUGUGGUGCAACCUUCUUUACAGGAAACACUUUUGAAGAGCAUACAUGAGCCUUGUUCAAGUAACAACAAAAAACCCAUCUAUGAAGAACGAAGGCUACAAAUCGAGGACCUAGAUGAAUGGCGAACACAUAAACCAAGGACACACGAUAAACCAAAACCAAUCCAUGACAAGCUCAAUAUUUCACCAAAUCAACUUAUGGUUGGAAACAAAGUACUACUAGAUGCAGCAGACCCUCGUAUUGCCACUCCUAAACCUAACGAAGCAAUCCCUCUUACAGUACUCAGCAUUUUUCCAUAUGGUAUAGUCGAGGUAAUUUAUCCCAAAUUCGGCACUUUUAAGGUAAAUAGUACCCGUCUAAAACUUUAUUUUGAUGAAAUUGAUAGCAUGAACGAGGAGUGUAAACUCCUCGCACCACUAUGACCAUGCAAAAGGGAGGUAAGUCGAGCUUAGACUCUAAAUAAGCGCUUCUCGGGAGGAAACCCGAGUACUAACAGUAUUAAUUUCUUUAAGUUUUAGUUUUUAACAUCUAACCACUAACUUAGUCUUUGAAUACAGCUUUUGGAAAACCACAUGGCCAGGUCCACAUGCGUGUCUUAGGCCAGGCUCACACCACGGGAGGAGACACGGCUGUGCGAUCUGGUCGUGUGAAACAAGGGAAAAGUUUUUCCCUAACACCGGAUGCGAUAAGUUGCUACGAGCGUCAGACGUAGCCAUGGGCGAACCUGUCAAAACAACACGGACGUAUGACACACCCGUGUCUUGAAGUCGUGGUCGACACUGAGAAAUUAACACGGGCGUGCGACACGCCACUGUCAAACCAACACGGUGUGCGUAUUUGAACAUGGGUAUGAGAGAAGCGAAUGAAGUAGAACACGGGUGUGUGACACUUCCAUGUGAACCAAUACGGCCAAAGAACACGGGCGUGGGACAAAUUUCACACACGCUCAAAUUUAAAAAUCGCAAAACACAUGGGCUAAAAUUAGGGCACGCGGACGUACCCCACAGCCGUGUGCCCCAAAAUCUAUAUAAACCCCUCACUAUUCAUCAUCCCCUUCCCCAAAAUCCCUAACCCUAAUCACUGCAACUCCUUCACACACCUUUCCUGCCACUCCCGUACACCGAACACAGCACCACCAUCGAUGACCCAAGGUCCUUCCUCUACCAAGCUCUUGUGUUUAUUCAUUAUUUUCUCUUCAUUUCGUUUACUAAUUUGAUUUUUUUUGCUUUAUUUUGACUGUUAAUCUUCAUAGUUCUAAUAAUACCAAUGCUUAUACCAUUUGUUUCUUGCUAAUCUAGUUGAUGGGUUAUGGUACAUUCAUUCUUGUGUUGCCAUGGACUUCAAUCUAUUUCCCAUAUUAUCAUUCUCAUAUGCAUCCAUUCACUAGGAAUUAUUCUCGUAUUCCUAUUCGUAGUAAUGAAUUAAAAUAUCUGAUUUGGUUAUCUUUCAGCAUAAUUGUUUUUAGUACAUGACUCCUAUGGAGUAUCUCUAUUUAGUUCUAACAUGCAUUGCAUAUUUGUCCACGUUAUUGUUGGGGAGUAAUUUUAUUUUUAUUUUGUCUUGCCAUUGUAGAUUUCAUGUCAAAUCAUGGUAAGAAAACUAUCGUACCCACCUCAAAGAAGAGGAAAGGAGCAGUAUCAUCGUCGAGCCCUAACGCGAAAAUUAGACACCCAUUCUUCCAGUUUCCCUUGGGACCCUAGGAGGAACUUUUCCAGAUACUUCGGGCCCAACCCUUAGGUGCGGGCCGUUGUAUUGAUUGGACCGCACUCGAACAAAUCCAACUAGCUGACGCGGUUCGAGCUCUUCGGACGACUGAUCUGAGGGAGCUCUUCUUUAGGAUCAUCGAGCCGACGUACCUCGAGCUCACACUGGAACUCUAUUCAACAUUCCACUUUCAAACCAUUAUGAUAGAGUUCGAUGAUCCAGGAACAGUCCAAAUCCGCCUCGGUGGCUUGGUUUGCCAAUUGAGCGUACCUGAGUUUAGAAUUGCACUGGGGCUAUAUACGGAGGAAUUCAUGUACGACAACGAACUCGACACCCUACAUUGCCACAUCUACUACUCUCCUUCGAAUUGCUGGCAAGUCUUAGUCCUUGCCUCGGCCACCUACGACCCUAGUCGCUCCAAGGCAUCGGCCUUCGACCCAUCCCUGAGGUAUUUACACGCCAUCUUGGCCCACACUCUGACAAGACGGCGAUAGAGUACUAGCGUUGUCAACACUCACGACACCUACUAUUUAUGAAGUAUGGCACAUGGGCACGUCUUUGACCUUGCCUAUUUCAUCGCCCUCUCCAUUUGCCAUCAAACGGAGCGGCAUAAGAAGGGGGUCAUCUCCAUUGGCCCCUAUGUGACUCAACUUUCACGGCACUUCGGGCUCCUCGACACGGCGGUGCAGGUAUCCUUCCUCACACUCAUCGGUCAGAUGUCCUCACAGGGCAUCUCGAGUAUGCUACACAUGAGGAUGAUAGAGCGAUGAUGUGGAGUUGAUCCUUCCUAGUAUCGCCUCGUCUAGUCAGCCGAGCAGGAGGACCCCGAGGACAUUACUGAAGAUGUCUCUCCAUGACACGAUGAUUCACAGUCUCAGCCACCACCUACCCAUCAUUCAGUUCAUGCGGCGGCUUCAUACUCUGACAUCUCUGAGUGCCUCACUCAAUUUGAGCAGCAGUGUUCUCAACGCUUUGAUCACAUUGAUGCUACUCUACAUCAGACUUGUCAGCGCCUUCACAUCUCAUCACCACCAGCACCUCGCGAACCUCUGGCGAUGACGAUACUUAAAGACUUUUUAUUAUUUUUUAUGUUUUUACUUUUAUCAUUUUAAAACUACUUUUUAUUUUAUUCUUCUUUAAUUUUCUUUUUAUUUCAUCCUUAGGUUUUAUAAUUUAUAUUGAACAAUUUAUGCUUUCAGCUAUUUCUUUUCGAGUAAUUAUGCUUCUUUAUAUUUCCUAAAGAGUUCUUGAUUUUAUCACAGUUAUUAAGAGCUCCAAAGCUCACCAUCACUUAGGAACUUGAAAAUCCACUGGAAAAGGUUCUCCACGACUAUCAUGUCCUGCCCGACCACCACGAUAACCUCUUCGCUAGGCACUGUGGUUGUGGAACCCAAUCUCUACCACCACCAGAGUAUACUCCUCCAAUCUUAUCAUUUCCUUGGCCGAUUAUUCUCCAUAACUCCAAUUCAAGGAGUCCAUUCAUCAUUCAGAAAGUUUCACUUCUCUCCUUAUCUUAUGAUCUUAUAUCUAUAUCAUCGUAAAUCUAACUUUGUACACAUCUUAAAGUGUGGGAGGGGGGUUGUUUAUAUCUUUAUCAGAAAAAUCCCUAAAUUUUGUCUUAUCCUCAUGUGAUCCUCUCAUAUCAGUAUUAGAAUGAAUUUUGAUUAAUUUAUGAUCUUUAUUGAUAUGUCUUGAAUUAAAACAUAGGCAUUUAUGCACUGAUGGUUUAAACUUUAAGGAAUUAGAGAAUCAAGCAUGAUAAGUUGAUUUUUGAGUUUUAAAAAUUUUUAGCUUGUUUCCCCAAGUUCAGGUAUUAUCUUGAGUUGAAAUUCACAGGUUUAACAUCAAAAAGCCAUAAUUUUUGUGAGAUCUUGAACCUUUAAGAUCAUCUAUUAUUUAUUUCAUGCUCAUUUUUAUUGUUGCUUUGAGCGCGUCAAUCUUGAUUUGUUAUUCUAGAACUUGCUUGCUAAUACAUGUCAAGACCACACCUUUGAUUUGAUAUGUCAAGAUGAUAAAGGCACUUAGGUUUAACCCAUUCACUCCAUAAAAGCCUACCUUUAUAAUUAACCCUUAGUGAACCCCUUUGAGCCUAACAAGCCAUUCAUUGAUUUACCCUCAAUAUUAACCCAUAACCUAUUAUUGUUGAAAUCCCCUAAUUUGAUCCCUAUUUUUGUCGAGAUUUGAUUUGAAUUAAUUGCUUAGCUAUGUUUUAUUUUUUUUUUUGUAAUAAUUAGCAAAGUUCUAUGUUCUAUGUUAUUUGGCUUGUUCUUAAAAAAAAUGCAUUCAUAUUAGUAGUAAUUCUUUAUUUUUGAGCUUAAGUUUUUAAAUUCCUUAUCCCAUGAAUAAAAGCUCAAUUCUAGGAUUUUCUAAUUAAAAAUGUAAUUUAUCAAGUUGUAGUAUUUUUAUAGUUAGGUAAUUUUUCAAUUCAAUCUCGAUUCUAACUUUCUCUUUCAGCUUCUAACCACACCCCCUAACCAAAGCCACGAUACAACCCUCUGAAGACCUUUUGAUUGAUGAAUCAUCUCAAUAUAUAGUGGUGGAGAUUUGAUUUUCACGCAAGCCUAUGGUAAUAACUUUUCAUAUUAACUAUUGAGUGCUAAAUUUCAUGUCCUUAAACACCUCGAGUGAUUUGAGUGAAUCUUUAGUGAGAAGGUUAAACUUUGUGAUAUUUUGAAUCAAAGGUAAUCACUUAGAUGAGGGGAGACACCUAUGUUUUCGUGAUAAAAUGCUCAACUUGGAAUGUUUGAAAGUUUGAUGUUCUUCUAGUUGAAUUCUCAAUGUGUGAUUACUUAUGGUUUAUUUUGAGAGACUAUUGAUGAGAAUUAUAAUUUGAGAAGAAUUUAUUUUGAUUGUGAGUUGAAGAUUUUACUUGAGGACAAGCAAACGCUUAAGUGUGAGGGUAUUUGAUAAACCAUAAUUUAUACAUAUUUUUACCUCAUUCUUAGCAUUUUUUGGAUGAAUUAUCCUUAGAUUUGGUGAAUUCGAUGCUCCUAAUCCUUUAAUUUCAUGUUUUAUACUUAGGUGAGCAUAGGAGAGUAAAAAGAGCGAGAAAUGGGCCGAAAACGAAGAAAAUGGACCAACAUGGGAAAUCAACACGGCCUGGACUUCCUCACAUGGGUAAGCCACACGGUCGUGUUCAUUUGGCAAAAUCGAAGCACGACUUACACGGGUAGACCACGCGCCCGUGCCUAUGUAACAGCCUUGAACACGGAUUGAAGAAAUCGCACACAGGCGUGUCACACGGGUGUGUCCCUGUUAAGCCCGAGUUUAGUUCUAUUCGAAAAAGGCCACUCUUGAGGGCUUUUAGGCAUUCUAAAGCCUAUUUAAACACCUGAGGAGGAACUUAGAAGAGACACACAGAGUAGGAGGCAAUGAAUUACUUAAAGAAAGCCGAUUUAUCCAUCUCAGAAGCCGGAUUCAUCGUCAAGACUGAAGAUCGCCCUUCAAUUUCCUUCAGGAGUUUUAGGUUUUCUUUAUGUUUUGUUAUCUUUAUUCUUUUGAGAUGUUUUCUUUCAUAAUUAUAAACUAAACCCCUUAAAUACCUAAAGGGAAUGAAACCUAAGACGGAUCUUGUUAUUAUUAUCUGAAUUGUAUGAUAAAUUUUUGACUUUUUCUUAAUUAUGUGUUCUUAAUUCUUAUUUUAAUAUUCCAGGAUAUUGAUUCAAGUUAAUGCGCUUAUUCAGAGGAGCAAAAGUCUCUAUCUAAGAGUAAAUUUGUCGUAAUUAAGCGGAGUUGAUUGCACGACUAGAGAUAGGGUAACAAAAUUUUGACGGAUUAGGAUGAAACCUAAUAAGGGAGUCCAUAGAUCGAGUUAAUGCAACACUAGGGUGUUGAUUAAAAAGAGAAUUCAAUUAACCAACCUAGGGUUAGAUAUUAUUAGUCUCGAGAGAGAUAAUAAUAUAACUUUGGGAUUUCUACGGAUCAAGUCAAAUGAAUAAAUCGUCUGAUUUAGAGUCAAAUAACAAGUGAAGUCUAGGUGGAUUUUUCCUUGGGUAUUGUCUUAAUCAAUCGAGUUUUCCCAAAAGCUUUCCCCAAUUUUCUCUCUAUGCACCCUUAGUUUAGUUAAUUAGUUUAGAUAAACAAAUCCCUUAAUUUUUAGGCUAGAUAAUAAAAAAAAGUAAUUACUAGUACUCUUGGUUCUUUUGGGUUCGACAAUCCGGUCUUGCUAAAGCUAUACUACUGUUCGAUAGGUACACUUGCCUUCAUCAUGAUAAUAGUUAGUUUCAAGAACGGUCAAUUAUAAAUUUUUUAAAACUUAUCGCGAUGACCAAAUCAUUACCCGCUUCCUUUUCCACUACGAAAUCUUAACUGGUUGAAGCAGUCCAGAGGGCAACUGAUGUUUGGCCUUAACUGUAACGCCCCAAUUUUCGGGAAUUCUGUGAAUGUUGGCAUAGGUUUAAUUAUGUUAGUGGGCCUCUAGAAGGCCGAAGCUUAAGAUAGAACCCGGCAAUUUUAGUUAAUUUUUGUUCCAUAAGAAAAAUGGGGUGAAAUUAUGAAAUAGAACCUAUGUGAAAAUGUUUGAAAAUGCUAUAGGCUAAAUUGAAGUGGCCAAAUAAAUAGGAGUGCAAAAUAGGAGGAUUUGCAUGACAAACCUCCCAUUUUACAUGAAGUGGCCAGCCAUCAUGUUGUUGUAGACAAUAUGAGCACUUGAUAUCCAUAAUUCAUGGUACAAAUUGAUAAUGGGUUAGGUAAAUGUUCCAUGAUAAUGAAUUAGGUAAAUAUUCCAUGAUGGGCAUUUCAUGUCUUUUGUAUUAAAGAAUUAAAUGGAUGAAAUAUGAAAUUUUAUUAAAAAAAAAGGGGUGAAAAGAACAAAGUUUUGUCCACAUUUGUUCAUCAUAGCCGAAAGUUAGAGAAGAGAAAGGAGAGGAGAAAGCUCUUGAAUGUUCGAUCACUUGGGGAAGAAAAUUGAAGGUAAGUUCAUGGUAGUUUGCUUCUAUCUUGAUGUUCAUGAGUUCUUCUUGAUUCUACCUUAACUCUUGAAGCAUAUUUUGGUUUUUAGUUGUGUUGUGAGCAUUUAGUCAUGAAUUAAAAUGAAGGAAAUGGUUGUUGUUUCAUAUUCUUUUGAUGAAAAAUAGAAGAUAGGUGAAGUUGAGCCAAACAAAUGAGCAUGCAUGUGCCUUAGAUGCUAAGGGGAAAAAUCGGCUAACAUGUUGUACUUUAAAAUGAUGAAAUGAAGAUUAUACUUAAGUAAAAUCAUAGAUAUGUGAUGAUUGAUUGGUGAUAUACAUGUUUAAAUAACAAGCAUGCAAGUUAGGUGUGAAAGAGUGAUUUGGUAAUAAAUCUGCUUGGGACAGCAGCAGUAACGUGACUUUGGAAAAUCACCAUAAAUUGUGGGAGAUGAGUUAGAAGCUGCAUAAAUUAUGUAAUUAAAGCUUAAUGAGUCUAGUUUCAAAUGGAAUAAAUGAGAACUGUAACACCCCAAUCCCGUAUCCGUCGCCGAAAUAGGUAAUGGGGCAUUACCGGACUUGAAACUCAUAUCAGAACAGUAAAAAAAAUUUUUUUUUGAACAUUCCUUUAGAUAAGUACUAAAGACAGUCAGGGAUACAAUUUAAACUUCUAUAAGUACACAUUCAAAAGAUGCCAUUUUCGCAUGGCUUAUAUACAUUAACCAAAAUAUUCUUCGACCACUGGUCUAUUCUAUACAUGCCAUAAAAUAAUUCUAAACAUAAUAGUAACAAGUAGUGGAUAGUGAUAGUGUGACUAGUUGCUGACAAUUCCCGAGCCUGUAGCUUCGAAAUGAGAUCUAUAAAAUAGAGAAAACAAAGUAAACGGAGUAAGCAUUACAAUGCUUAGUAAGUUUUAAGCAGUGUCAACAGAUAACAAUCAAAUUAUAACAUAGUUGUUUGUAUUUUUAUUUCACUCUUCCUUCGGGCAUACCAUCCCUUUACCGAAUAUGCACAUCUCAUCAUAUACAAUAGGCAGAUAAACUUUCACAUAAAAGUGAGGUCAUGUGACAUAGAUAUAUUGUAUAAUUUCACAUAACCUCUCACACUGAUCCGAUGUCACAUAAUCAUAGGAAUAGUCUCAUAGAUUGCUCUCGUAUGCAUCACAUAUCAACCUUAUGAUUUAGUUCAAAUCAAGCUCACAUAUAAACUUGGAGUACAUACCUGUUUAACCUUUCGCAUUGAAUAUAUUUAUAAGCAAUUCUUAUUACGAAGUCUUAUAGCUUUAACCUCUACUCAGAUUAUCGGCGAGACCUUUAGCUCAGACGAAAUCUCCACACGAAGUUAUCGGGUCUUACCCGGACAAAAUCUCCACACGUAGUCAUCGGGUCUUACCCGGACAUAAUCUCCACACGUAGUCAUCGGGUCUUACCCAGAAUAUAUUUCCAAGUUUCAUGUACAUUUAAUCACAUGUUACAACAUUCACAUCGACUGUCAUAUUUGUAAUUCAUUUGCCUCAUCAAAUAUCUAAUAAUACACACCUUUCACAUUUGGUCAUUCGGCCACAAUAUACGCACAUCGCCUACAUAUUUCACACUAGCCAUUCGGCUUUACCACAUAUACAUAUCUCAUACAUAUUUCACACUAGCCAUUCGGCUUUACCACAUAUACAUAUCUCAUAUAUAUAUAUUUCACAUUGACCAUUCGGCUUUACCAUAUAUGCAUAUCUCAUACAUAUUUCACAUUAGCCAUUCGGCUUUACCACAUAUACAUAUCUCAUACAUAUUUCACACUAGCCAUUCGGCUUUACCACAUAUACAUAUCUCAUACAUAUUUCACACUAGCCAUUCGGCUUUACCACAUAUACAUAUCUCAUACAUAUUUCACACUAGCCAUUCAGCUUUACCACAUAUACAUAUCUCAUACAUAUUUCACAUUAGUCAUUCGGCUUUACCACAUAUACAUAUCUUAUACAUCAAUUUCAGCAAUAGCUUAUAAGCAACUCAAAUAGUUUCAUCAAUGUUUACAACAAAUUCACAUAUUCACUACAAGCUGUUUUCCUGAGCAAUAGUCACUAAAUUAUUUAUAACUGGAGCUACAAAACUCAAAAUCAAUUGCCGUUAAUUUUCCCUGAAUAUAGACUCAUAUAUCUUCCAUCCAUAAGAUUUUCAGAAUUUUAGAUUUGGCCAAUCAAUACCAGAUUUUUCUUAAAGUUUCCCCUGUUUCACUGUUUGACUAAUCUGACUACUCUUCACUACGAAUCAAAUUUCUCAUUUUACAGAAUUCAAAAUGUGUUCUAUUUGAUUUCAUUUGAAACUAGACUCAUUAAGGAGUCUAAUAAUAUAAAUUUUAUAUUAUAACCAUUUUUUUACAAAUUAUAAUGAUUUUCUAAAAACCGAACAGGGGAUUUCAGAGUCAUUCUGACACCGUCUCACUCAACUUUAAAUAUCUCUUUAUAGGAAAUUUCUUUGCUCACACGGUCUCUUUUAUAAGAAACUAGACUAAUUAAGCUUUGAUUACAUAUUUUAUUCAGCCUAUAAUUCCACACCAUCAAUUUAUGGUGAUUUUCUAAAAUCACGUUACUGCUGCUGUCCUAAGCAAAAUAUUACAAUUUGCUCUUAAAUUUCCAAGUCCAAACACUUAUGAACUCACCAUUUGAGUUUAAAACAUAUCAUGGCCACAUCAUAUCUUAUUAAAUCAACUCAUUAUGUCCUAUUAUGAUUGAAUUUACUCAACGUUUAAUCACUUAAAACUUACCUCGGAAGUGGUCGACGACUAGAUAUCCACGGCAUUCGUUUACUUUCUCUUUUCCCCUAUCCGACUUUGAUCCUCUUUGCUCUUAAGCUUAAGUAAAACAAUAGAUUUGCUUAAGUACUUAACUAAUAUUAUUCACUUAACAAUCGCAUUUCGCAAUCACAUAUCAUUUAAUCUAUAUCUAAAACAAUAGAUUUCAAUAUGUAUCAUAUUUAAUAAUUCAUGCCAUGACUCGAUCUCAUGCUUAUUUAAUUUAUAUCUAAUUCACAUUCACAAGCAAAGAGCCACUUAAUUUAUCAUGCUUCCUUAUACAUGAAUUUAAUCAUAUUGCCGAAUACAUAUAUAUAUCAUCAAACAGAUAUUUAUUCACAUAACAACAAUUCAUUCACAUCUCUAUAAAUGGUCAUAAUCGGACAUUAUAAACAAAUCAACUAGUUUAGAAUUCAAAUUCUUCUAACCAUUCCUCAAUCAUUUACUCAAUGAACAACAAUCCAAGCACAUCAAAGCAUAGUCGAAUGUAUCAUUCUUCUUAAAUUCAAAAAUAAAUGCAUGGGCUAACUUCAAAAUCUAUUUAACAACUCAACUUUAUAAACACAUAUUCGGCUAGGAAGAAAGAUUGAUAAUUUAACAACCUUAGCUUAACAUAUAAUUUGUUGUAACACAUCUUUAAGCAUUCUUUUAUUCCAUCAACUCAAAACACAUUCAUCACUCACAAUAACUAUGUUCAUAUUCGGCAAUGGCCUCCAAUAUAGUGACCCAUUCUUCUCAACUAGCACCUAGUGUACACACAUGAUCAUUUGUUUGAUUCAAACACCUAUCCACCAAAAAUUCAUCCAAAUUAACAAGAACAACAACCACAUUCCUUGUUAUCUACCAUGACCGAAACCCAUAUUCAUUCACCAAAUAUCAAAAAUUUAACAUGGGUCCAAUAAGGAACUUAGAAAUUUACUAGGAUUUAACUAAUAUUUCAAAAAUUAACCAAAACUUCUUACCUUAAUAUUGACCUUAGAUGACCGAAUGCUUCACUCCCUUCUCCGUCUUUUCAUUUCGUCCAAGAAGAACCGAUUUCUUCUCUUGUUUUCAUCACACUUUCAUUCUUUUCUUUCUUUUAUUAUCCUUAGUAUUUCUUUUAUUUAUUUCCUUUCUUUUACAUAAAAUAAUGACCAUUUCAUGAAGAUUCACUACAUAUUCUAAUAUAUGCACCAUCAUGGCCGGCCACUAUGUAUAAAAAAAGGAGUAUUUGACAUGCAAAACCAUUGUUUUCACUACAUGCUUUAAUAGGUCCUUAUAGAUUAACCUAUCACAUUUCACAAGUGUCACACAUAAGUCCUAUUAACUAAAUUCACAAGCAAUUAACUAAAUCGAAGCUUAAAACUUUCACACAUUCAUAUUCACAUAUUUUAGACAAUAAUAAUCAUAUUCAAAUAAUUUGGUGACUCGGUUUAGCAGUCCCGAAACCGCUUUCCGACUAGGGUCACUUUAGGGCUGUCACAAGAACAUAUUUUGAAUUAUGUACAAUGAGAAAUUUGAUUCGUAAUGAAGAGUGGUCAGAUUAGUCAAACAGUGAAACAUGGGAAACUUUAAGAAAAAUCUGGUAUUGAUUGGCCAUACCAAAAAUUCUGAAAAUUUUAUGGAUAGAAGAUAUAUGAGCCUAUUUUCAGGGAAAAUUAACGGCACUUGAUUUGGAGUUUCGUAGCUCCAGUUAUAAAUAAUUUAGUGACUGUUGCUUAGAAAGACAGCUUGCAGUGAAAUUAUGAUUAUGUGGUAAACAUUGACAAAAAUUUAUUAAUGAGUUGCUUAUUGAUUUCCUAUAAGCUUACUAUGAUCUGUACGUGUGGUUGGACGAAUAUUGUAAGGGGUUAAUACGUAGUUUGUAUUUGAAUAGUUAGAUUAACGUGUUAGUAAUCCAAUUGUAGGCGGUUCGUGUGUGGAUCUCGUCAGCAUAUCGUCGCAAACAGGUGUGUAACUGACACCCUCUCAUGGACUAGAUUCGCAAAAGCCGAAAAGCCGAAAUGCCGAAAAGUCGGUAUUUGGGGAAUUUGCGAGUGUGCGAAUGCUCGUAAGAUAGUUGGGUUUGUAUAUUUGGUAAUCUAAAGUAAUAAACUGCAGUACGCGCGAUUUCAUCCAUUUUGAUAAUUUGGGCUUAAUGGGCCAAAGAUCGGGAUCAUAGGCCAACGGGCCCAAUUUGGUAAGUAUGCGCGGUAAGUGUUUUGAUAGUACGUAAAUAGUUAGGAUAUGCAUGAAAACCCUAAAAGUAGCUAAAUUACUAUAAUACCCCUAUGCAUGGAAUAUUACUGUUAUACCCCUAGGUGCAAAAUUACCGUUAUACCCCUAGGGUUAAUUUUGACUAAAAAGCAUGACGAUCUGAUUCUGUAUGAUGUAUGCCAUGAUUAUAUAUCUGUUGCAUGGGGACAUGGGUUAUAUUAUGGAGGAAGCGUCCUGGUGGCUGUGCCACGAUUAUCUGAUCUCGUGGCUCUGCCACAUAUAUCUGUUGUGGUGGCUCUGCCACAAUAUCUGUAUCUGGUGACUUUGUCACAAUAUUUGGCAGCCUCGCUGCGAUUUCUGUGGUGUUUAGCGGUUGGGUGGGUCGAGUAGUCUCCCCACAUGGUGUAAGGCUGGUAUGGGGGUGUUAUGGAUGAAUCUGGGUUAGGUUUCUGCAUAUACAUGUAAUAUCUGUUCUGUUUUGUUAUGAGCCUAUGGGCUUUAUUCUGAAUUCUGUUCUGGGCUAAGGCCAACUUAUUCUAUUUCUGUGGUUUGAGCUGAUAUAGGCUAUGGUUGGGUUAAUUUACACACUGAGUUUCCCCAAACUCACCCCUUUUAUUUUCAUCCACGCAGGUAAUCCCCAACCAUAGUGGGCUUGGAGCUGUGAGGGAAUUCAGAGUGGCCACCCGUUCUGAAAGUUUGAUUUUCUUCUGGUGAACUGGACAUCCUUUUAUUUACGUUUGAAGUUUUGGGUUUUUAAAUGUAAUAAGGCCGCUUAAUUAUUUUUGAUGGUUUUAAUAUGUAUUACUAAUAUAGGCAUUACUUAUUUUAACUGUUGAAAUUGGAUAGCUUUAGGGCGCGUUUUCGAAAACAACAAUUUAUUUCAAAAUAACACGAUAACAAGCAAAGCUUCUGCAAUGAAAGUAUUUUCCAAAAUUAAUCACUUUUCCUAAAAAAUGACUUAAUCAAAUCGGUUUCCUAGAAAUAUCCAUGACGUUAAUGUGUGGCAAUGGCGGUAUGCAUGUCUAGGAUUGGAUCCGAAGGGAGCUUGGUACUUAAGCAGUCCGAUAGACUCACCUCCUCUUUUUCGGUUUCCUACCUGGUGCACAGCUUCCAUUCACUUUAACCUAUAAUGAAAUUAUCUUUUAAAACACUAAGUAGGUUUUUCUGGAUCAACAAUAUAAAAUGUUUUGAACGCUUCGAUGUGGCAUGUCGGAUCCGGCCAUAAUGUCUGGGCCGGGUUUGGGGUGCUACAUUAACCUUUUGACACGUCAAAUAGUAGGACACAAAAGUGAUUACCUCCCGUUUCAUAUCGAGCCACCAAUAAAGUUCUUGAAGAUCCUGGUACAUCUUAUUCCCACCAGGAUACAUAGCAUAGGGGUUAUUAUGUGCCUCCUACAGAAUUGAGUGCUUUAAUUCUUUGUCAUUGGGUACACAAAUCUGACCUUUGAACCAUAAUACAUUAUUAGUAUUCAAGCUAAAAUCAAAAUUCUCGUUUGAGCCAACAUGUUGCAAUCGCUGUAUUAAGGAUUCGUUAUUUUGUCGUUUAGCUCAAAUUUGCUCUAUCCAAAUCGGUUUCACCUGGAGUUCAGCUAACAACCCUCCAUCCUCAACCAAACUUAAACGAGCUAACAUUGCUCUCAGAUCCACCAUUACUUUAUGGCAAAAGGCAUCAACUACCACAUUAGGGUUACUUGAUUAUAUUCUAUUAUGCAAUCAUAUUUUUUUAGUAACUCGAUCCAUCGGCGCUAAAAAAGGUUCAACACUUUUUGGGUUAACAAAUAUUUGAGGCUCUUGUGAUCAGUGUAAAUAAUACACCUUUCACAAUACAGAUAGUGUCUCCAGAUUUUCAAAGCAAAUAUGGCCUCAGCUAGCUCAAGAUCAUGGGUGGGGUAAUUACCCUCAUCUGUCUUCAUCUUCUGUAAUACGUAAGCGACCACCUUACCAACUUGCAUAAGCACACAUCCUAACCCAACAUGUAAAGCAUCACUGUAAACCACAAACUCCCGUCCCGAUUCUGGUUGAACCAAAACAGGAGCUUGUGUCAGAACGAACUUGAGUUUAUCGAAACUAGACUGCUAUGCCUCAGACCACACGAAUGGAGCAUUCUCACGUAACAGCUUUGUCAAAGGUGAUACAAUCAGAUAAAACCCUUUGACGAACCUUCAGUAGUACCUAGAUAAACCAAAGAAGCUACGAAGUUCGAACAUGUUUUUUGGUUGUUUCCACUCAACAAUAGCUUUAAUUUUAUUGGGAUCAACUCGCAUCCCUUCCGCCGUAACCACAUGACCCAAAAAGGCAACCUCCUACAACCAAAGCUCACAUUUGCUGAACUUAACAUACAACUAUUUUCCUCGAAGAUUCUGAAGUACAAUACGAAGAUGACCAUCUUGCUCAGUUUCAAUUUUAGAGUAGAUCAAAAUAUAAUCGAUAAAAACCACACAAAUUGAUCCAAAUAUGGUUGAAACACCCGAUUCAUUAAGUCUAUAAAAGCUGUUGGGACAUUCUUAAUCCGAAAGGUAUUAUCGAAAACUCAUAAUGUCCAUAACGAGUUCUGGAAGUAGUUUUGUACACAUCAGUCUCUUUGACCUUGAGCGGAUGGUAACCAGAGUGUAGGUCAAUUUUAGAAAAGACAGACGCUCCCUGAAACUGGUCGAACAAGUCAUCAAUCCUUGGUAACAGAUACUUAUUCUUGAUCGUCAACUUGUUCAAUUGCCUAUAGUCAAUACACAUCUUUAUCGACCCAUCCUUCUUCUUAACGAACAAUACCGGUGCCCCCCAUGAAGACACAUUCGGUUGAAUAAAUCCUCUAUCAAGGAGUUCCUGAAGCUGUGCUUUUAAUUCAGUCAGUUCUUUUGGUGCCAUACGAUAGGGAGCAAUGGACACUGAAGUAGUACUUGGUAAUAGAUCAAUUCCAAACUCCACAUUUCUAUCCAGAGGUACUCCAGGCAAUUCCUCGAGAAAGACAUUUGGGAAUUCUCUUACGGUACGGAUAUCUCCCAGUAAUAACUUUUUGGAAGCAGAAUUGGAUACAUAAGCUAGGUAUGCCUCACACCCCUUUCAGACUAAUUUGUUUCCUACUAGAGCCGAGAUUACAUUAGUGAAGUAAUCUCGACGCUCUACAACCAUUACCACCUCUUUAUUCUCAGUCGGUCUCAGAGUAACUCUUUUGGUUGCACAGUCUAAACUGACCCGAUAUUCAACGAGCCGAUCUAUUCCAAGAAUUAAAUCAACCUCGUUAAAGGGCAAUUCCAUUAAAUCAGCUGGAAAUAUCAUACCCUAAAGCUCUAGGGGUACUAGUCUGUAUACCCUACCGACUCGAAUUAACUGACCCAAUGGACUAAUUACAGAAAACUCUCUAGCAGUAUUCUCAGCAGUUAAAAACCCAGAGUUAUAGAAACAGCACUAGCUAUGUACGAAUGAGUAAAGCCAAUAUCAAUGAGAGUAUAAUACGAUACAAAGUGGAAAAAAAAGGUACGUGCAAUGACAUCAGCAUUAUCGCUCUUCUCGCGACAUCUAGAUGCAUAAACUAGUGUCGGCUGGCGAGUCUCAGCCUAACCAACACCUCAACCCGGUGUUCACCAUCUUCUCUCAGCUUCGUUACCACCACUACCAGUACCACAACUUCUGAAAGGUUGCUGAGUCUCUCUCAGAGGUCGAACAGAGUUUCGGGUCGAAGUUUGUACCACACUUGGCACUGAAUCAGGUCGACGGGGACAAUCCCUAACUCGAUGCUUCAUCGAACAACAACAGAGGCACGCUCUUAAUUUCCUCCAACAUUUGCCCCGAUGGUGCUUCCUACAAUCAGUACACUACUAAAUUUCAGUCACUACAACUAGUGUCUCGACUCUCGGGGGCAUGUCAAAACUCACUCGCUUCUUAGGGUGUUGAGCAAAACUAGAGGGACCCGAAUCUCUCUUAACUUUAUUCUAAUCCUUCUCACGGUCCCGUAGUUCAUGCUCAAUGCACUUUACUUCUUUCACUAUUUUUGCUUUAUCAACCAAAAUCAUGAAUACCCGCUCCUUCUGAGGAGCUAUCAAAACCCGCAGUUCAGAUCUUAAGCCUUCUUCGAACCUCACACACUUGUCGUAGUCAGAAGCUACCAAAGUCCGUGCAUAUUUUCCCAAUCGCAGAAACUCGACUUCAUACUUAGCCACAGAUCGGUCACCCUAAACUAGGCUCAUAAGCUCGCGUCGGUAAGCCUCAUCAUAGCUUGCCCCCACAUACUUACCCUUGAAGGCAUUCUUGAAAUAGUCUCAGUUCACUUGCUCAGGUUGACCACCGUGUUCAACAGUUAGCCACCACUGAUAAGCUUUGUCUUGGAGUAGAGACACUGCGCCCCUCAUUUUUUGAGUAGGAGUGCAAUUAAGAUCAAUCAUAAUAUGUUCGGUAGCAUUGAGCCAAUACUCAACAAUAGUAGAGUGAUACGGCCGAGCCCCGAGACUCAUCAAGGACUGAUAAAGAACCUUUACGGCUGCCCUUUGGACCGAUAACUUAACCUCAUCCAAAAGAUUCAAAGAGACUGUUUCGGCUUUAACUGAUCGACUAUGAAGAAAGAAUGUUGCUGGGCUCAUUGAAUGAACGUAGACAAGUCACCCGAGCAAGCCUUGCAACCUUCUACAAGCCCAUCUUGUUCAUUCGUAGCCCAUUGAGCUCAACUCCAGCUCGUUUUUAACUUAGCAAUAUUUUGUUGCUAGAAAUAAGGAUUUCAAUCCAUUUUAGUUAUUUUAGUUUGAUUCUUUAAUUAUGUCAUAGUUUGAACAUCAUUAUAAUGAGUCUUUAAUUAUGUUAUAGUUUGAACAUCAUUAAUAUGUGUUCUGCAUUUAAUAAAGUCAUGCAUUAUGUAACUUUCAUGUUAGUUAAGUUUGCAUCAUUAAAUUAAGUCAUGCAUUAAGUAACUCAUUUUUUCAUUUAGUUUACAUCUUAAUUAAAUUAUGCAUUUAAACAUCUUAUUUGUUUGUAUUAGAGUGUUAUUUAAUUUGGCUGUUACUUUUGCAUAAGUUAUAGUGUGUUUAAUAUUUCUUAAAUAAAAUUAAUUGUGUGUUCAAUUUUUGUUGUAGGAAAGUUAAAAAGGCUGGAUACAUAUUUUAAAGCUACAAUAGGGCUGAUCAUUUGCCAAGAAGAAUCAAAUGCUGUCACAUUCAAAUGGCUGUUCAAUUUUGGCAUAAAAAAGUGUGCAUUUGGCCACUUAAUUGCUGGUGCAUAAAAGGAACAUUUUUUUUGGAUAUUGAAGCACUUAAAGCUUAUUAUGGUGGCUUUUCAAAUGGACCAAGAGUGUCUCUUCAAGUCUGAUCAGUUUUUGGAGUCUUUUUCCUUCAUUAUGACGCCAUUAAAAGAGGAAGUUACAUAAGCUUUAUGAUAUGGUUACAAGGGAGUUGAAGGGACAUCAACUAAGUACAAUAAGAACACAUUAAGUCUUCAUUAAUAGAUAGAGUCAUGCCUUUUCAUCUACACCAGGAUCAAAUGAAGAGACAUGACCAUUAGAUUUCCUACAUAAGUUAAAAAUGAAAUUAACGCUUGUAAUAACCUUAGUUAAUUGUUGAAGGUGAAAUGUCACAAAUAGGCAUUCGAAUAGUCAUAAUAGUGCCUAUAAAAUAGAUUGUAAAAAGACAUUAUUUUAGUUAAGAAAAAUUUUGAUACUUUUAUGGAUUUUUACAUUUUUGUGAGUUUAAUUCAACUCUCAUUGUUUUCUAAGACUCAUGCUAACUUAUCUAGCAUUGAUAGUGGCGUCCAACUUGUUUUCUUUGUGAACUUAUCACUCUUUGAGUGUGGCGUUCAACCCCAAUACCUUUGAUUCCUAUCUCCUUAUAGAUAGUGGGUCAAAGUCCUUUUUAACCAUCAACCUUUCCACCUUAAAAGUCAAUAUCAGAUUCGGGUCAAAACUCCUUAUAGUAUUGGUUCUUUCUUGGACCUUAACCUUUUUCCAUCCAUUCGAAUUAUUCCUUUCAAAGUUAUUUUAUUUUUCUUUAUUUAACUGAAACAUUCACUUAGACUAUUCCAAAAUACUUAAAAACUAUCUUUGCUUUAGCCUACACUUAGCCAAAUUCACUCAACUCCAAAUUGAACAAAACUUCUCUAUUUUACGAUCAGGCAAUACUACGACUCGAAAUCAAAUCACGAGAUAUGUUCAUAUCAAGGAGCGACUCCUAUGACACCCCUAAAUAGUUCAGCACCAUUUGACCAAAGUUGUUCAGUAAUCGACCCCAGGCCUCCCGAUCGUGAAUGGGUCCCAAUAACCAUCUCAAGAGCCCAACUUAUGGCCUGGGACAGUGUGUCGUCCCCAGCCGUAGGAGUCUAAGACUCCGCCUCUGCAGUGGGAGUACUAACUGUAUCACUGAUCUCCAGAUUAGACAUGCUACCCAUAGAAGAUGACUCAGCUUGAGCUCCUCUUUGGCGUCCUCGAUGCCCCCGCAAACCCCAUCCACGACUACCAUGUAAACUCAUAUUGCAUUCUAGCUAUAAUUUCAGAAUACACAGAUCAGUUCACAAAUCCUACAUAACGGUUCCAUCAGUUUACACCAAGCAAUCUACCAAUAACUGUUAGGUAUCAUAAUCUUUACAAAAGAACAUAAAUACUUACUGGGUCAGCGUUGGAGGCUCGGUCAUUCCCUAAUGUUUCAGUGUUUCUAUAUUAGUUCGGCUAAAAAUUAUUACUAGGCAUAAUUCUCACACAUUAAGAGCCUAAACACAGUUCGAGUGUUAGCAAACCUACCUUUGAUACCACUAAAUAUAACACCCUAAACCUGACCUAGACGCCCAAACCAAGUUGGAGAGUCACAUCAACCAUUCUAAAAGCCAUACUACCAUAACGCAAUCAAAUUAAACAAGGCGUCACAUAUAUUCAUCCAAUUGUAAUUUAAAGACAUAAUCUUCAUAAAUCCAUAACAUCAUAAAACAAAUAUCCUUAAUAAUAAUGCUAGCAGAAUAUCAAUAAGUGUCUAACCGAGCUUCCGCGACACCGAUCCGAUCAAGACUGAUUACCACCUGUAACCCAAACAAUAACAGGGUGAGUUAUAAGCUCAGUGCGUAAAAAGAAAUGUAAUUUACCAACGGUGACUUAUGGAGAAUAUCCAGUUCAGAGAUUCAGUUCAUCCUAGAAGCAUAUUUGAUCUAGGCUCAGAGCAAAGGCAUUAAAUAUGUAUACAUGUAUUAUUAUAGUUCAAAUAUAGUUCAGAUCAGAUUCAGAUGCAAUAUUCCUAUUUUCAUCCUUUGCACACCAACUUUUCCCAUCCCAACACACCACUAUGGACAUUUAAUGCCCAUCCAUCCCUUCACAUCUUUAAAGUGUUCAAUGACACUUUCAUAGAAACGCAGCUUAGCUCCUAGUUCAAUGUACGACAAGCGCUAGAAUCAGAGAGAUACUUAUUGUGGCAUAACCAUGAUUUCAAUACAGACUCUCCUUCUUCCUCACAAUCUUCCACCACAUCUUAAUGCAGAAUACAAUAGUUCGUAACACAUGUGUAGCCAUUCUGAUAAAAUACAUAAUUAAUAAAACAGUUCAAUAACAGAGUGGUGUUACAAUGCAUAUUCAAGUAUGUGAUUCACAGAUCAGUCUCAUGUAAGCAAAUUCAGUCAUUCAUAAAUUAAGGAAACCAAUAUCAGAGUUUAGCACCCUUCUCGGCCUCAAAAAUAGUUCUCGAAUCCAAUAUCCUGCCACACGACCUGGGCACACGCUCGUGUACCUUGGUCGUGUGGUUUUUAAGUACAAAUAGUGAGUUACACAACCUGGGCACAUGUCUGUGUCAUUGGCUGUGUGGUUUUAUGCUGCAAACAGUGACUUACACGACCUGGGCACAAGGUGGUUUUUACACCCUAAAUAGUGAGUUACACUGUCUGUGCAUACACCCGUGUCCCUGGCUGUAUGAACCUUGCACUAAAUUGGCCUAAACAUACACCCGUGUAGUCGCCCGUGUGGUCUUAAUUCAAUAAACAAUGAUUUACACGACCAUUUACACGGCCUACCAUACGCCCGUGUGACGCACACGGCCUAGUCACACACCCGUGUGCCUGGACGUGAAGCAUUGACAGCCACCAUUUUCGGCGAUAAAAGUUACAAAAACUAAGGUUUCCAAUACACACUUGAGACGAUUUGAAAGUAGUGACAAUGAAGAGAAGUUCUGAAGCCUAAAACGAUCAUUCAAUAACUCAAUUAAUCAAGUUUAUCAACAACAAUGCACAAUUAUACUCAAAAUACCUAUGUCGAAAGUUUUCACACCAACUUUCAACGGAAUCAAUACUUACAAAAAAGAAUCAACGACGAUUACUCGAAUUGACUUGCUGAGGUUCGCUACUCUCAAUAUCCCCGCCUAACAGGGAAACCAAACGAUUGACUAUCAGAGAUUCACGCAACACACACAAACAACCAUCUCAAAGUAUACUAUGUAAAGCAAAAAGAGAAAACCUAAAAUUUAAAGAAUCGACAUCAAAACUUACUCAAUAACCUCCUAACAGAGAAUGCUAACAGCGUAACUUCAACUAGUCCAUAUUCCUUACGAUAAUUAAAGAGGAAAAGGGAAAAUCGAAAAAGAAGAAAAAGUAGAGAAGUAAGAAAAAGAAAACGAAAAAGGAAAAACAAGAAAAAUAAUAGGAAAGAAGAACUAACGUUAAUUGAUUAUAAAUUAACUUCCAUCCAGACUUCCAGCAUUUAGCAAAAAUAUUUUCCUUACGCAUACUACAGGAUUCAAACUCAAAACCAGAUAGAAUACAGACAGAUGUUUAACCAGUGAACCAACAGGCUCAUCCUCAUCACCCUUUUACAAAGAAUUGAACUUAAGCAGGUAGUGCGUGUUUGUGGGUUGAUUCUAAAAUAACAAAACUUUUAAUGAUGCGACUUGAACUUUAGACCUUAAAAUUUUGGGGCGUUACACAGUCCAUACUAGUUGCACCAACUCAAUCCGAUCAAUUCUAGUCACACCUGCCAGAACAUAGUGCACCGUCCUGUGCAUGAAUAAUAUUAAAAUUUUAAAGCUUUUAAUUAUUUACUAUUAUGCUAAAAACAUAAUUGAAACGUAACUAAAUAAAAAUGCUACAUUGGAAUGUAAUGUUUUUUUAAAAAAUGGAAUAUACUUUCACAUUCAAAAUAUAUUUAAGAAAAAAUCAUUCACCCGACUCAAAAAAAAAUCAUUCACCUUCCAGCUUCUUUUAUUAAGUAAAUGAGCUAAAUCCUUAAAAUUUCAUAUUAAAUGAUGAAUUUUUAUUAUUAAUUUUGAAUUUAUUUGAAUGAUAAAUUUUUAUUUGUUAAUUUUAUUAAUAAAUAUUUUAUAUUUGAAAUGUAUUUAGUUUCAUUCAUUUUUUAUUUGUAAUAUAUUUAUAUAUAUAUCUUAAAUAAGUUUAAAAAAUAUUGAUAAAUCUGAAAAGAUAUCUAUCAAUUUCGGUAAAAAAAAAAUCAACCAUCCACUAAUACAAAGAAAAGAAAUCUCAAUUUCUAAAAUUCCAAUUCCUUUAUAUUUAAAGUAGAAGAAAAAUAGCAAUAGGUAUUAACAAUGAAAUUAGAUUUCAAUAUUGCUGUCGCUAGGUAUAAUUUAUUCACAAUUUUUAUAAGAGGUUACAUGUAUUUAAUAUGACAUAAAAAACUAUUAAAUUAACUUUAAGUCAUUAUAAAUUUGUUAAUUAAAUAAUAUGUAAAAUUAAUAGAAAAUAAAAAUAAAACGAAAACGUUGACAAUAAGUUAAAAAUUAAUCCAAAUCAUUAUAGAUAUUUUAUUUAAAAAAUGAACUACAAUUAAAAUGGAAAAAAUAAAAAACAUGUGGCGCUAUUUUGUUUUGGGGGCAUGAAUGGAGCAUCGUUUCAGGGCAAGGGAUUUCUAUUCACUGCUCCAAUGCCUAUAUAAACCUCAAUACCAUGCUUUGUUUUCCUCACUCACAACUAUUCAGAUAAAGAAUUUCGUUUCAUCUGCUUCAUUUGUUUCGAAAUCUCUGAACAAAAAUGGCCUCUUUCAAUUUCAUUUGCAAGCAUUGAUGUUGGGGUAGUAGCUCGUCACCUUCUGCAGCAGCCUCAAACGCAAGGUUUGCCAUCUUUCCCUAAUCUCCCAACGCCAUCCCGACCAUCAUUCCCAUGGCCUGGCGCACUUCCUCCACUUCUUACCACAUUGCCAACAAGACUGCCCCCUCUACCAAGCAUUCCCUCAGUCCCCACAAUCCCAACUGCAAUUCCCCCUAUUCCUUUCUCUUUUCCACCAUUGCCAUCUUUCCCUAAUCUCCCAAACCCUGGGGCACUUCCUCCACUUCCUACCACAUUGCCAAGAGGACUGCCCCCUCUGCCAAGCAUUCCUUCAGUCCCCACAACCCCAACUACAGUUCCCUCUAUUCCUUUCUUUUCUCCACCACCUUCUCAAUCUACUCCUUGAAGUACCCCAUUUUUUUUAUCUGCUGCAACUGGAUCUGGUUUAAUAAGGUUUUUAGUCGUCUUUGUGUCUUUAUUAUGAGUAUUGAUUUUUCCCACUUAUAUUUGUUUGUAUAAAUAGGACUUCUCCAAUUCCCAUUAUUUGAUGUACUUUGAUACGUUGUUGCUUAUUAUAUAUGGGGUAUUUAUAUAUUGAUGUUUUUCCAUGAAGUAAUUAAUUACUGUUAUGAGUUUGGCUAAUUAAGAAAAGAAUCAAAAAAAUGCAGUCAAGAUAAUGAGCAGCCAUACAUCGAGAAGAUGCCUUUGUAGAUAUAAUAAUUCCUGCUUCAUUAUCUCUUUGAAGUUAUCCAUUUACAUAUACGAUUACUUUCCUCUUUUAAUAUAUUUCCAAGAUAAUAUUUUAUAUGAAUGUCUUUAAAUUCGGGUAGUCAGUUUUAUAUAGAUUUCGGUUAUACUAAUUUGUGUGCAUUGUUUUAAUUUUAUAUCAAAAUAUUAAUGUUUUUGAAAUUAAAUCGAUAAUCAAAUCAAUUAAUUCAUCAAUUUUUGAUUCAGUAGAUUCAACCAUCGAUAUAAUUAAUUUACUAUUCAACAAUAUAAAAUAAUAUUAAUUAUUAAAAACCCCAAACUCCUCUAUUUUUAAGGCUUUGAAUUUUAAAAUCCUCUCCCCAUCUUUGAUCUUUCCUAAUUUAUCUUCUUUUUUCCCUUUGAUUGAAUGUUAUAUGUCCAUCUUAGUUUUUCACCAGCAAAAAAAACUUAUUUCAGUAGAAAAAGUAAGAAAAGAAAUGGUGGUUAUUUUUUUAUGUUAGUGUUUUAUUUCAUUGAGUGCAGAAAUGAAGUGUAACAAUAGCUCAAGGGAUUUGAAGUGAAAUUUUUAUUUUUUCGAUUUAGAAAAUGUGAAAAUACGGCUUAAUCGACUAAUGAUUUGCAGUUUAACUGCAGUUUACUCUAGUUCUCGUGCUCAUUGGUUCUUAUUCUGUUUGGUUAGGUUCUAAUAACAUUGAGAAACACCUAACCCCAUUUUUCUACACUAGUGAAAAUUUUGGUCUAUAACACCCUAAACUCGACCUAGGCGUUCAAAUCAAGUUGGAGACUCACAUCAACCGUUCUAAAAGCCAUACCACUAUAACGCAAUCAAAUUAGACAAGUCGCCACAUAUUAUUCAUCACAAUAGUAAUUUAAAGACAUAAUCUUCAUAAAUCAAUAACAUCAUAAAACAAAUAUCCGUAAUAAUAAUGCUAGCAGAAUAUCAAUAAGUGUCUAACCAAGCUUCCGUGACACCGUUCCGAUCAAGACUGAUUACCAUCUGAAACCCAAACAAUAACAGGGUGAGUUUCAAGCUCAGUGCGUAAAAAGGAAUGUGAUUCAACAACGGUGACUUAUGGAGAAUAUCCAGUUCAGAGAUUCAGUUCAUCCUUGAAGCCUGUUUGAUCUAGGCUCAGAGCAGAGGUAUUACAUAUGUAUACAUGUAUUAUUCCAGUUCAAAUAUAGUUCAGAUCAGAUUCAGAUGCAAUGUUUCUAUUUCUAUCCUCUACACACCACUAUGGACAUUUAAUGCCCAUCUAUCUCUGUACAUCUUUAAAGUGUUCAAUGACACUUUCACAAAAAUGUAGCGUAGCUGCUAGUUCAAUGUGCGACAAGCGCUAGAAUCAAAGUGAUACUUAUUGUGGCAUAGCCAUGUUUUCAGUACAGACUCACCUUCUUCCUCACAAUCUCCCACCACAUGUUAAUGCGUAAUACAAUAAUCCGUAACACAUGUUUAACCAUUCUGAUAAAAUACAUAAUUAAUAAAAACCGUUCAAUAACAAAGUGGUGUUACAGUCCAUAUUCAAGAAUGUGAUUCACAGAUCAGUCUCAUGUAAGCAAAUUUAGUCAUUCGUAAAUCAAGGAAACCAAUAUUAGAGUUUAGCACCCUUCUCAGCCUCAAAAACAGUUCUCGGAUCCAACAUCCUGCCUCACGGCCUGGGCCCAUGCCCGUGCGCCUUAGCCGUGUGGUUUUUACACCUCAAACAGUGACUUACAUGGGGCAAAUGUCCAUGUCCCUGGCCAUGUGAACCCUGCACUAAAAUGGCCACACACGGCCUGAACACACGCCUUUGUGGUCGUCGGUGUCUUCUUAAUUCAAUAAACAGUGAGUUACACGGCUGUUCACACGGCCUCCACACACCCGUGGGACACACAAUGCCUAGUCAUACACCCGUGUACCUGUUGUGUGGCGUUGACAGCCAUCAUUUUCGAUGAGAAAACUAGCAAAAACUAAGGCUUCCAUUACGUACCUGAGACAAUUUCAAAGUAGUGACAAUAAAGAGAAUUUUUGAAACCUAAAACUACCAUUCAAUAACUCAAUCAAUCAAGUUUAUCAACAACAAUGCACAAUUAUACUCAAAAUACCUAUGUCAAAAGUUUUGACACCAACUUCCAAAAAAAUCAAUACUUACAAAAAAUUAACAACGAUUACUCGAAUUGACUUGCUGAGGUUCACUGUUUUCAAUAUCCCCGCCUAACAGGGAAACCAAACGAUUAACUAUCAGAGAUUCACGCAACAAACUCAAACAACCAUCUCAAAGUAUAAUAUGUAAAGAAAAAAGAGAAAACCUAAAAUUUAACGAAUCGACAUCAAAACUUACUCAAUAACCUCCCAAAAUAAAAUGCUAACAAUGUAACUUCAACCUAAAAUUUAACGAAUCAACAUCAAAACUUACUCAAUAACCUUCUAAAAUAGAAUGCUAACAAUGUAACUUCAACUAGUCCGUAUUCCUUACGACAAUUAAAGAGGAAAAGGGAAAAUUGAAAAAGAAGAAAAAGUAGAGAAGGAAGAAAAAAAAAAGGGAAAAAUGAAAAACAAUAGGAAAGAAAAACUAACGUUAAUUGAUUAUCAAUUAACUUCCAUUCAGACUUCCAACAUUUAGCAAAAAUAUUUUCCUUACGCAUACAAAGAAUUGAACUUAAGCGAACCAUCAGGCUCAUUCUUGUCACCAUUUUACAAAGAAUUGAACUUAAGUGGGUAGUGCUUGUUUGCGGGUUGGUUCUAAAACAACAAAACUUUUAAUAAUGCGACUCGAACUUCAGACCUUAAACUCAAUCACAGAUUACAAAACCAUAGAUACAAAAAUUAGUUACUGUAUAUUUUCAUAAACAAGUUCUUAAAAUUUUGGGGCAUUACAACUCUCUCCCCCUAAAGGAAAUUUUGGCUCGAAAUUUUUACCUAAGUCAAACAGAUACAGAUAUAGCCAUCGGAUAGAUUCCUCCGGCUCUCACGUGGCUUCCUUAGUACUGUGAUUCCGCUAGAGGACCUUCACUAGAGGAAUAGUUUUCUUUCUCAGUUUCUUAAUGUCACUUUCUAAGAUCUGAAUAGGCUCUACCUCGAAUGUCAAGUCUGGUCGUAAUUCGACCUCGUCAAUCGUAACGAUAUGUGACAAAUUCAAUCGGUACCGUCUCAACAUCGAGGCAUGAAACACAUUAUGAAUUCAAUCCAGCUCCGAUGGUAACUCUAACUUGUAAGCAAUAGGUCCAACUUACCUUAAGAUACAGUAAGGCCUUAUGAAUCUCGGGCUUAGCUUUCCGUUACGUCCAAAUUGGAGGAACUUUUUCCAAAUUGAUACCUUUAGAAACACUUGAUCACCUAACGAAAACUCAAUAUCCUUCUUUUUUAAAUCUUCAUAAGACUUUUGUCUAUUAGACAUGGCUUUCAAUCGAUCCUGAAUUACAUUCACAAUGCUCUCGAUUUCAGAAACCAGCUCAGAACCCAAUAGACGGCGUUCACUCAACUCCAUCCAACAUAACGGAAUAGGGUACUUACGACUAUAUAUAGCUUCGUAAGGUGCCAUCUGAAUACUAGACUGAAAGUUAUCAUUGUAAGCAAACUUCGUUAACGGUAGAUACUCCUUCCAACUACCUCUGAAGUCUAUCACAAAACCCCGAAGCAUAUCUUCUAGAAUCUGAAUGACUCGUUCUGACUGUCCAUCGGUCUGAGGGUGAUAUGUAGUACUAAACUUAAGUCGAGUGCCUAAAGCCUCAUGAAGUUUCUUUCAGAACCGAAAGGUAAAUCGCAGAUUUCUACAAUGAAUAAUCCAUUCGGAUAGCAAUGAAAUGAGCCGAUUUGGUCAACUGGUCAACUAUAACCCAAACUGAAUCCUUUUUAGCAGGAGUUAAGGCAACCCUGUAACAAAAUUCAUUGUUAUCCGCUCCCAUUUCCACUGCGAAAUCUUUACCAGUUGAAGCACUCCAGAGGGCAACUAAUGUUUGGCUUUAACCUUUUGACACGUAAAAUAGUAGGACACAAAAGUGACUACCUCCCGUUUUAUGGCAAGCCACCAAUAGAGUUCUCGGAGAUCCUGGUACAUAUUAUUUCCACCAGGAUGCAUAGCAUAUAGGCUAUUGUGUGCCUCCUGUAAAAUCGAGUGCCUUAAUUCUUUGUCAUUAGGUACACAUAUCCGACAUUUGAAGCAUAACACAUUAUCGGUAUUCAAGCUAAAAUCAAAAUUCUCGUCUGAGCCAACAUGUUGCAAUCGCUGUAUUAAGGAUUCGUCGUUUUGUUGUUUAGCUCAACUUUACUCUAUCCAAACCGGUUUCACCUGGAGUUCAGCUAACAACCCUCCAUCCUCAACCAAACUCAAACGAGCUAACAUUGCUCUCAGAUCUGCCACUGCUCUAUGGCUAAGGGCAUCAGCUACCACAUUAGCCUUACUUGGAUGAUAUUCUAUGGUGCAAUCAUAAUCUUUUAGUAACUCGAUCCAUCGGUGCUGACGAAGGUUCAACUCUUUUUGGGUUAACAAAUAUUUGAGGCUAUUAUAAUUAAUGUAAAUAAUACACAUUUCACCAUACAGAUAGUGCCUCCAAAUUUUCCAAGAAAAUACAACCUCAGCUAACUCAAGAUCGUAGGUGGGGUAAUUACCCUCAUGUGUCUUCAUCUUCUACGAUGCGUAACCAACUACAUUACCAUCUUCACUAAGCACACAUCCUAACCCAACAUGUGAAGCAUCAUUGUAAACCAAAAUUGAACCAAAACAGGAGCUUGUGUCAGAACGGACUUGAGUUUAUCGAAACUAGACUACUGUGCCUCAGACCACAUGAAUGGAGUAUUCUUAUGUAAUAGCUUCAUCAAAGGUGAUGCAAUCAGAGAAAACCCUUCGACGAACCUUCGGUAGUACCCAAAGAAACCAAAGAAGCUACAAAGUUCGGACGCGUUUUUUGGCUGUUUCCACUAAAAAACAGCUUUAAUUUUCUUGGGAUCAACUUGCAUCCCUUCCACCGUCACCACAUGACCCAAAAAGGUGACCUCCUGCAACAAAAACUCACACUUGUUGAACUUAGCAUACAACUGUUUUCCUCGCAGUAUCUGAAGUACAAUACGAAGAUGACCAUCGUGCUCAAUUUUAAUUUUAGAGUGGAUCAAAAUAUUAUCAAUAAAAACCACUACAAAUUUAUCCAAAUACGGUUGAAACACCCGAUUCAUUAAUUCUAUAAAUGCCACCGAGACAUUUGUUAAUCUGAAAGGCAUUACCAAAAACUCGUAAUGUCCAUAACAAGUUCUGAAAGUAGUUUUGUACACAUCAGUCUUUUUGACCUUGAGCUUAUGGUAACCUGAACGUAGGUCAAUUUUUGAAGAGACGUACGCUCCCCGAAACUGGUCGAACAAGUCAUUAAUCCUUGGUAACGAAUACUUAUUCCUGAUCGUCAACUUGUUCAACUGCCUAUAGUCAAUACACAUCCUCAUCGGCCCAUCCUUCCUCUUAAAAGACAAUAUCGGUGCCCCCCACGAAGACACACUCGGUCGAAUAAAUCCUCUAUUAAGGAGUUUCUGAAGCUGUGCUUUUAAUUUAGUCAGUUCUUUCAACACCAUAUGAUAAAGCGCAAUGGACACUGAAGCAAUACAUGGUAACGGAUCAAUUCUAAACUCCAUAUUUCUAUCCAGAGGUACUCCAGGCAAUUCCUCGGGAAAGACAUUUGGGAAUUCUCUUACGGUACAGAUAUCUCCUAUUGACAACUUUUUGGAAGCAGAAUCGGAUACAUAAGCUAGGUAUGCCUUACACCCCUUUCGGACCAAUUUGUUUCCUGGUGAAGUAAUCUCGACGCUCUCCAACCAUUACCACCUUGUCAUUCUCAAUCAGUUUCAGAGUAACUCUUUUGGUUGUACAGUCUAAACUGACCCAAUAUUCAACGAGUCAAUCCAUUCCCAGAAUUAAAUCAACCUCGUUAAAGGGCAAUCCCAUUAAAUCAGCUGGAAAUAUCAUACCCUGAAGCUCUAAGGGUACUCUUCUAUAUACUCUAUCGACUCGAAUUAACUGACCUAACGAACUAACCAUAGAAAACUCUCUAGCAAUAUUCUCAGCAGUUAAACCCAGAGUUACAGAAACAACACUAGCUAUGUACGAAUGAGUAGAGACAAUUUCAAUAAGAGUAUAAUACGGUACAAAGUGGAUAAAGAAGGUACCUGCAAUGACAUUAGCAUUAUUGCUUUCCUCGCGACGUCUAGUCAUAUAAACCAGUACCGGUUGACGAGCCUCAACCUAACCAGCACAUUUACCCGGUGUUCACUGUCCUCUCCUAACUUAGUUACCACCAUCCCUAUCAGUACCACGACCUCUAAAAGGUUGCUGAGUCUCUCUCGGAGGUCUAACAGAGUUUAGGGCCGAAGUCUGUAUGACACCUAGCUCUGAAUUAGGUCAACAGGAUCGAACCACAAUAGAGGCACGCUCUUAAUUUCCUCUAGCAUUUGCCCUGGUGGCGCUUCCUACAAUCAGUACACUGCUGAAUCUCUGUCACUACAACUGGUGUCCCGACCCUUGGAGACAUGUCAAACCUCACCCGCUUCUUAGGGCGUUGAGCAGAACUAGAGGGACUCGAAUCCCUCUUAAGUUUAUUCUGAUCCUUCUUACAAUCGCGCCGUUCACACUCAAUGCACUUCACUUCUUUUACUAUUUUCACUUUAUCAACCAAAAUCACGAAUACCCGCUCCUUCAGAGGAGCUAUCUAAACCCACAGAUCAUAUCUCAAGCCUUCUUCGAGCCUCACACACUUGUUGUAGUCAAACGCUACCAAAGUCCAUGCAUAUUUUUUCAAGAGUAGAAACUCGGCUUCAUACUCAGCCACAGAUCGGUCACCCUGAACUAGACUCAAAAACUCGCAUCGGUGAGCCUCAACAUAGCUUACCCCCACAUACUUACCCUUGAAGGCAUUCUUGAAAUAGUCUCAGUUUACUUGCUCAUGCUGAGCACCGUGCUCAACAGUUAGCCAUCACUGAUAAGCUUUGUCUUGGAGUAGAGACACUGCGCCCCUCAAUUUUUGAGUAGGAGUGUAGUCAAAAUCUAUCAUAACACGUUCGGUAGCCUUGAGUCAAUACUCAGCAAUAGUAGAGUGAUAUGACUGAGCCCCGAGACUCAUCAAGGGAUGACAAGGAACCUUUGAGGCUGCCCUUUGGACUGAUAACUCAAGCUCGAGCCAAAAGAUUCAAAGAGGCUGUUCCAGCUUUAGCUGAUCGAGUAUGGAGAGCAAAUGUUGUUGGGCUCAUUGAAUGAACAUGGACAAGUCACCCGAGCAAGCCUUGCAACCUUCUACAAGCCCAUCUUGUUCAUUCAUAGCCCAUUGAGCUCAACCCCAACUUGUUUUUAACUUAGCAAUAUUUUGUUGCUAGAAAUAAGGAUUUCAAUCCAUUUUAGUUAUUCUAGUUUUUUCUUUAAUUAUGUCACAGUUUGAACAUCAUUAAUAUGUGUUCUGCAUUUAAUAAAGUCAUGCAUUAUGUAACUUUCAUGUUAGUUAAGUUUGCAUCAUUAAAUUAAGUCAUGCAUUAAGUAACUCAUUUGUUCAUUUAGUUUACAUCUUAAUUAAAUUAUGCAUUUAAACAUCUUAUUUGUUUGUAUUAGAGUGUUAUUUAAUUUGGCUGUUACUUUUUCAUAAGUUAUAGUGUGUUUAAUUGUUCUUAAAUAAAAUUAAUUGUGUGUUCAAUUUUUGUUGUAGGAAAGUUCAAAAGGCUGGACACAUAUUUUAAAGCUACAAUAGGGUUGUUCAUUUGCCAAGAAGAAUCAAAUGCUGUCACAUUCAAAUGGUUGUUCAAUUUUGGCAUAAAAGAGUGUACAUUUGGUCACUUAAUUAUUGGUACAAAAAGGGAACGUUUUUGCUCGAUAUUGAAGCACUAAAAGCUCAUUAUGGUGGCUUUUCAAAUAGACCAAGAGUGUCUCCACAAGUCUGAUCAGUUUUUGGAGUCUUUUUCCUUCAUUAUGAUGCCAUUAAAAGAGGAAGUUACACAAGCUUUAUGAUUCGGUUACAAGGGAGUUGAAGGGACAUCAACUAAGUAUAAUAAUGACACAUUAAGUCUUUAUUAAUGGACAGAGUCAUGCAUUUUCAUCUACACCAGGAUCAAAUGAAGAGACAUGACCAUUGGAUUUCUUACAUGAGUUAAAAAUGAAAUUAGGGUUUGUAAUAACCUUAGUUAAUUGCUGAAGGUGAAAGGUCACAAAUAGGCAUUCGAAUAGCCAUAAUAGUGCCUAUAAAUAGAUUGUAAAAAAACAUUAUUUUGGUUAAGAAAACUUUUUAUACUUUUAUGAAUUUUACAUCUUUGUGAGUAUAAUUCAACUCUCAUUGUUUUUCUAAGACUCAAGCUGACUUAUCUAGCAUUGCUAGUGGCAUCCAACUUACUUUCUUUGUGAACUUAUCACUCUUUGAGUGUAGCGUUCAACCUAGAUACCUUUGGUUCCUAUCUCCUUAUAGAUAAUGAGUCAACGUCCUUUUAAACCAUCAAUCUUUCGACCUUAAAAGUCAAUAUAAGAUUCAGGUCAAUACUCCUUAUAGUAUUGGUUCUUUCUUGGACCUUAACCUUUUUCCAUCCAUCCGAAUUAUUCUUUUCAAAGUUAUCUUAUUUUUCUUUGUUUAACUGAAACAUUCACUUUGACUAUUCCAAAACACUUAAAAACCAUCUUUUCUUUAGCCUACACUUAGUCGAGUUCACUCAACUCCAAAUUGAACAAAACUUCUCUAUUUUAUGAUCGGGCAAAAUUACGACUCGAAAUCAACUCACGAGAUAAGAUUGUAUCAAGGAGCUAUUCCUAUGAUGCCCCUAAAUAGUUCAGCACCAUUCGACCAAAGUUGUUUAGUAAUCGACCCUUGGCCUCCCAAUCUUUGAUGGAUCCCAGCGACCCUCUCAAGAGCCCAAAUCAUGGCCUGGGACAGUGCGUUGUCCCUAGCCGUAGGAGUCUAAGACUCCGCCUCUGCAGUGGGAGUACCAACUGUAUCGUUGGUCUUCAGAUUAGGCAUGCUACCCAUAGAGGAUGACUCGGCUUGAGCUCCUUCUCGGCGUCCUCAACAACCUCACAUACCCGGUCCACGACUACUACGCGAACUCAUAUUGCAAUCUAGCUACAAUUUCAGAAUACACAGAUCAGUUCACAUAUCCAGCAAAACGGUUUCACUAGUUUACACCAAGCAAUCUACCAAUAACAGUUAGGUAUCAUAAUCUUUACAACAGAACAGAAAUACUUACUAGGUCAGCAUCGGAGGCUCGAUCGUUCCCUAAUGUUUCAAUGUUUCUAUAUUAAUUUGGUUACUAAUUAUUACUAGCCAUAAUUCUCACACAUUAAGAGCCUAAACACAGUCCGAGUGUUGACAAACCUGGCUUUGAUACCACUAAAUAUAACACCCUAAACUCGGCCUAGACGUCUAGACCAAGCUGAAAAGUUACAUCAACCGUUCUAAAAACCAUACCACUAUAACGUAAUCAAAUUAAACCAGUCGUCACAUAUUAUUCAUCACAAUAGUAAUUUAAGACAUAAUCUCUAUAAAUCCAUAACAACAUAAAACAAAUAUCCCUAAUAAUAAUGCUAGUAGAAUACCAAUAAAUGUUUGAGCAACCUUCUGCGACACCGACCUGAGCAAGACUGAUAACUACCUGAAACCUAAACAAUAUUAGGGUGAGUUAUGAACUCAGUUCGUAAAAACGAAUGUAAUUCAACAACGGUGACUUAUGGAGAAUUUCCAGUUCAGAGAUUCAAUUCAUCCUAGAAGCAUGUUUGAUCUAGGUUCAGAAUAGAGGUAUUACAUAUGUAUACAUGUAUUAUUCCAAUUCAGAAAUAGUUCAGAUCAGAUUCGAAUGCACUGUUCCUAUUUCCAUCCUCUACACACCAACUUUUUCCAUCCCAACAUACCACUAAUGACAUUUAAUGCCCGUCCAUCCCUUCACACCUUUAAAGUGUUCAAUGACACUUUCACAGAAACGUAGCUUAGCUCCUAGUUCAAUGUGCGACAAGCACUAGAAUCAGAGUGAUACUUAUUGUGGCAUAGCUACGAUUUCAGUAUAGACUCCCCUUCUUUCACACAAUCUUCCACGAUAUGUUAAUGCAGAAUACAAUAGUCCGUAACACAUGUUUAGCCAUUCUGAUAAAAUACAUAAUUAAUAAAAUAGUUCAAUAACAGAGUGGUGUUACAGUGCAUAUUCAAGAAUCUGAGCCACAGAUCAGUCUCAUGUAAGCAAAUUCAGUCAUUCAUAAAUUGAGGAAACCAAUGUCAGAGUUUAGCACCCUUCCCGCCCUCAAAAACAGUUCUCAGAUCCAACAUCCUGCCACACGACUUGGGCUCGCCCUCGUGUGCCUUGGUCAUGUGGUUUUUAAGCACAAAUAGUGUGUUACACGACCUGGGCAUAUGUCUGUGUCCUUGGCUGUAUGGUUUUAUACUACAAACAGUGACUUACACGGCCCAGGCACACGAGUGGUUUUUACACCCUGAAUAGUGAGUUACACAGCCUGGGCAUAUGCCCGUGUCUCUGGCCGUAUGAACCCUGCACUAAAAUGGCUAUGCAUGGCCUAAACACACGCCCGUGUGGUUGCCCGUGUGGUCUUAAUUCUAUAAACAAUUAAUUACAUGGUCGUUCACACGGCAUACUAUACGCUCGUGUGACGCACACAGCCAAGUCACACACCCGUGUACCUGACCAUAAGGCGUUGAUAGCCACAAUUUUCAGUGAAAAAACUUGCAAAAACUAAGGUUUUCGAUACACACUUGGGACGAUUUGAAGGUAGUGACAAUGAAGAGAAGUUUCGAAACUUAAAACGACCAUUCAAUAACUCAAUUAAUCAAUUUUAUCAACAACAAUGCACAAUUAUACUCAAAAUACCUAUGUCGAAAGUUUUCACACCAACUUUCAACGAAAUCAAUACUUAUAAAAAAAUCAACGACGAUUACUCGAAUUGACUUGCUGAGGUUAGCUACUCUCAAUAUUCCCCCCUAACAGGGAAACCAAACAAUUGACUAUCAGAGAUUCACGCAACACACACAAACAGCCAUCUCAAAGUAUACUAUGUAAAGCAAAAAGAGAAAACCUGAAAUUAACGAAUUGACAUCAAAACUUACUCAAUAACCUCCCAACAGAAAAUGCUAACAGCGUAACUUCAACUAGUCCAUAUUCCUUACGACAAUUAAAUAGGAAAAGGGAAAAUUGAAAAAGAAGAAAAAGUAGAGAAUGAAGAAAAAGAAAAAGGAAAAACAGGAAAAAUAAUGGGAAAGAAGAACUAACGUUAAUUGAUUAUCAAUUAACUUCCAUCCAGACUUCCAGCAUUUAGCAAAAAUAUUUUCCUUACGCAUACUAUGGGAUUCAAACUCGGAACCAGAUAGAAUACAGACAAUGUUUAACCAGUGAACUAACAGGCUCAUCCUCGUCACCCUUUUACAAAGAAUUAAACUUAAGCGGGUAGUGCAUGCUUGUGGGUUGAUUCUAAAAUAACAAAACUUUUAAUGAUGCGACUUGAACUUUAGACCUUAGAAUUUUGAGGCGUCAAACGGUCUGUACCAGUUGCACCAACUCAUUCUGAUCAAUUCCAGUUACACCUGCUGGAACAUAGUGCACCGUCCUGUGCAUGAAUAAUAUUAAAAAUUUAAAACUUUUAAUUAUUUACUAUUAUGCUAAAAACAUAAUUGAAACGUGACUAAAUAAAAAUGCUACAUCGGAAUGUAAAGUUUUUUUAAAAAAUGGAAUAUACUUUCACAUUCAAAAUAUAAUUAAGAAAAAAACCAUUCACCCGAUUAUCAAAAAAAAUCGUUCACCUUCCAGCUUCUUUUACUAAGUAAAUGAGCUAAAUCCUUAAAAUUUCAUAUUAAAUGAUGGAUUUUUAUUAUUAAUUUUGAAUUUAUUUGAAUGAUAAAUUUUUUUUUGUUAAAUUUAUUAAUAAAUAUUUUAUAUUUGAAAUGUAUUUAGUUUCAUUCAUUUUAUAUUUGUAAUAUAUUUAUAUACAUAUCUUAAAUAAUUUUAAAAAAAAUUGAUAAAUCUAAAAAGAUACAUAUCAAUUUGAGUAAAAAAAAAUCAAAUGUCCACUAAUACAAGGAAAAGAAAUCUCAAUUCUUAAAAUUUCAAUCCCUUUAUAUUUAAAGGUGAAGACAGUAGAAGAAAAAUAAGAAUAGGUAUUAACAAUGAAAUUAGAUUUGAAUAACGUUGUCGCUAGGCAUAAUUUAUUGACAAUUUUUACAAGACGUUACAUGUAUUUAAUAUGACAUAAAAAAUUUAUGUAAAAUUUUGGGAUGGAAUAGUUUAUCUGUAUAUUUUAUUUUUUAGGUUGGGAUUAAAAAAUUAACAUGUUUAUUUUACAAAUAACUCUGUAGUAUUAUCGUCUUUAAAAUAAAAUUAUCUUAACAUGUUUAUUUCGAAGGUGGAUGUUUAAAUUUCGACUUAAACACAAAGGCAAACUAAAUAAAUUCUAAUCUAAAUUUCAUUUAGCUCAAUUUAUUAUAAAAAAUUAACUGCGUAAUUAAAUCAAAUUCAAAUUGACUCAAAUUUAUCUAAACUUGAAAUGAUUUAAUCACAAAAUAACUCGAACUUAAAAUGAUCAAAAUCUAAAAUGAUUCGGAUCAAUAAUAACUAGACAUGAAAAACUUAGCCUUAAAUUUAAAUGACUUGAACCUUAAAUAAAAAAAAUCCGAAAAUGACCUAAACCAUAUUGGAAGUUUUCAUGUAUUUUAAAGAAUUACAUAUAAUACACAUAUUUUAGAUACACCUAUUAAAUGGUGUUUAUAUAGAUUUGGUUUACUAUAAACUUGUAAGACUAAAAAUAAGAGAAUACGUAUGUGCACACGAGGCUUGAGCCUAAUAGCUCAAUUCCAUUCAAAUGGGAAAAUUUUUUCAAUUUUUUCAUUGCCCAUGAUACAAACUAAAUCCUAGAAAUAGUAAAUCCACGAAUAUCCUUAAGAAUAGGGAUAUUCAUGCCUCAAGCUACAAUUCUAAUUUUCUAAACUUUUGACUUUUUAAUAAACCUAAAAUGAUCUUAAAAUUUUAAUACAUAAAUUGAGACCGUGAAAUCUUGAAGGCCAAAGUUUAAGUCACAUUGUGAAUAAAUUAUAUGUAAGCCAUACUUUAGAUUUAUUCUAAUUAUUUACUUCGCUUCUAAUGUACAUAAACUUUGCCAACAUGGAGGAUUAUUCAAGUAUUCUAUUUGACAUAUUACUUUAAUUAAGGGAAUAAAUCUAAAAAAUUUACACAUGAAUAUUGCCUCAAUCUAGAAUGUCAAAGGUAAACUUUAAUUUAAUGUGCAUUAUGACACUUAAAUUAUGUUAAUUUUGUGUAAUUGUAUAUAAUAAAUUUUGAUUUUGAUUUAAUUUAAUUUGGGUUUGAGGCUCGACUUUUUUGGCCUGAGUCAUUAUGGGUUUUGAUUAUUUCAUAUAUUGUGACAAUUCAACCGUUGUCUUUAUGGCUAAGAUGACAAAAGUGGAAGUCGAAGUAAACAUAUCGACAUUAAGUUUCUAGAUGAGCACAUUAACACUAAGCAAAUGUUAGCUGAUCCUUUGGUUAAAGGCAUGCCACCACCCAAAAUUUAAGGAUCAUGUUGUCAUUGUGGGACUUGUUCCCACAUUGUAAAAUUUUAUUAUAAGAAAGGAUUAUAAAAAAAUUGGUUAAAUUAACUCUAAGUCAUUAUAAAUUUGUUAAUUAAAGAAUAGGUAAAAUUAAUAGAAAAUAAAAAUAAAACAAAAACGUUGAUAAUAAGUUAAAAAUCAAUCCAAAUCAUUAUAGAUUUUUUAUUUAAAAAAUGAACUAUAAUUAAAAUGGAAAAAAUAAAAAACAUGGGGCGCUAUUUUGUUUUGGGGGCAUGAAUGGAGUAUUGUUUAAGGGCAAGGGAUUUCUAUUCACUGCUCCAAUGCCUAUAUAAGCCUCAAUACCAUGCUUUGUUUUCCUCAUUCACAACUAUUCAGAUAAAGAACUUUGUCUCAUCUGCUUCAUUUGUUUCGAAAUCUCUGAACAAAAAUGGCCUCUUUCAAUUGCUUUGCUUUAGCAUUCUUGAUGGCUUUGUCAUUUGCAAGCAUUGAUGUUGGGGUAGCAGCUCGUCACCUUCUGCAGCAGCCUCAAACGCAAAGUUUGCCAUCUUUCCCUAAUCUCCCAACGCCAUCCCGACCAUCAUUCCCAUGGCCUGGGGCGCUUCCUCCACUUCCUACCACAUUGCCAACAGGACUGCCCCCUCUGCCAAGCAUUCCCUCAGUCCCCACAAUCCCAACUGCAAUUCCCCCUAUUCCUUUCUCUUUUCCACCAUUGCCAUCUUUCCCUAAUCUCCCAAACCUUGGGGCGCUUCCUCCACUUCCUACCACAUUUCCAAGAGGACUGCCCCCUCUGCCAAGCAUUCCUUCAGUCCCCACAACCCCAACUACAGUUCCCUCUAUUCCUUUCUUUUCUCCACCACCUUCUCGUUCUACUCCUUGAAGUACCCCAUUUUUUUAUCUACUGCAUAUUGGAUCUGGUUUAAUAAGGUUUUUAGUCGUCUUUGUGGCUUUAUUAUGAGUACUGAUUUUGCACACUUAUAUUUGUUUGAAUAAAUGGGAUUUCUCCAAUUCCCAAUAUUUGGUGUACUUUGAUACAUUGUUGCUUAUUAUAUAUGAGGUAUUUAUAUAUUGAUGUUAUGUCCAUGAAGUAAUUAAUUACUAUUAUACCAUUGUUAACAUGAGUUUGGCUAAUUAAGAAAAGAAUCAAACGAUAAAUGCAGUCAAGAUAAUGAGCAGCCAUACAUCGAGAAGAUGCCACUGUUGAUAUAAUGAUUCCUGCUUCAUUAUCUCUUCCAAGUUAUCCAUUUACAUAAGAAUAUUUUCCUCUUUCAAUAUAUUUCCAUGAUAAUAUUUUAUAUGAAUGUCAAAUUAUGUAUUAAAUUAAGGUAGUCGGUUUCGUACAGAUUUCGGUUAUAUUAAUUUGUGUAUUGUUUUAAUUUUAUACUGAAAUAUUAAUGCUUUUAAAAUUAGAUCGAUAAUUAAAUUAAUCGAAUAAUUAAUUCUCAAUCCAAUAGGUUUAACCACUGAUACAAAUAAUUUACUAUUCAAUAAUAUUAAUUAUUAAAAUCCCCAAACUCCUAUUUUGAUGGCUUUGAAUUUUAAAACCCUCUCCCCAUCUUUCAUCUUUCCUAAUUUGUCCUUUUUUUUUCCAUUGAUUGAAUAUUAUAAGUCCAUCUUAGUUUUUUACCAGAAAAAAGAACUUAUUUUAGUAGAAAAAGUAAGAAAAAAAAUGUUGGUUAUUUUUUUAUGUUGUGUUUUAUUUCAUUGAGUACAGAGAUGAAGUGUAACAAAAGCUCAAGGGAUUUGAAGUGAAAUUUUUAUAUUUCUGAUUUAGAAAAUGUGAAAAUACGGCUUAAUCGACUGAUGAUUUGCAGUUUAAUUGUAGUUUACUCUAGUUCUAGGGUUCAUCAAUUCUUGGUUUGUUUGGUUCAAUUUCAAUAACAUUGCGAAACACCCAACACCCUUUUUCUACACUGGUGAAAAUUUUGGUCCGUACCAGUUGCAUCAACUCAUUCUGAUCAAUUUCAGUCACACCUGUUAGAGCAUAGUGCACCAUCCUAUGCAUGAAUAAUAUUAAAAUUUUAAAAUUUUUAAUUAUUUAUUAUUAUGCUAAAAACUUAAUUGAAACGUGACUAAUUAAAAAUGUUACAUCGAAAUGUAAAGUUUUUUAAAAAAUGGAAUAUACUUUCACUUUCAAAAUAUAAUUAAGAAAAAAUCAUUCACUCGGUUAUCAAAAAAAAAUUCCGUUCACCUUCUAGCUUCUUUUAUUAAGUAACUGAGCUAAAUCCUUAAAUUUUCAUAUUAAAUGAUAGAUUUUUAUUAUUAAUUUUGGAUUUAUUUGAAUGAUAAAUUUUAUUUUUUAAGUUUAUUAAUAAAUAUUUUAUAUUUGAAAUGUAUUUAGUUUCAUUCAUUUUAUAUUUGUAAUAUAUUUAUAUACAUAUCUUAAAUAAUUUUAAAAAAUAUUGAUAAAUCUGAAAAGAUAUGUAUCAAUUUCAGUAAACAAAAAAUCAAACGUCCACUAAUACAAAGAAAAGAAAUCUCAAUUCUUAAAAUUUCAAUCCCUUUAUAUUUAAAGUUGAAGACAGUAGAAGAAAAAUAGAAAUAGGUAUUAACAAUGAAAUUAGAUUUGAAUAACGUUGUCACUAGGCAUAAUUUAUUGACAAUUUUUGUAAGAGGUUACAUGUAUUUAAUAUGACAUAAAAAACUGUUAAAUUAACUCUAAGUCAUUAUAUAUUUGUUAAUUAAAUAAUAGGAAAAAUUAAUUGAAAAUAAAAAUAAAACAAAAACGUUGAUAAUAGGUUAAAACUUAAUCCAAAUCAUUAUAGAUUUUUUAUUUAAAAAAUGAACUACAAUUAAAAUGGAAAAAAUAAAAAACAUGUGGCGCUAUUUUGUUUUGGGAGCAGGAAUGGAGCAUCGUUUAAGGGCAAGGGAUUUCUAUUCACUGCUCCAAUGCCUAUAUAAACCUCAAUACCAUGCUUUGUUUUCCUCACUCACAACUAUUCAGAUAAAAAACUUCGUUUCAUCUGCUUCGUUUGUUUCGAAAUCUCUGAACAAAAAUGGCCUCUUUCAAUUGCUUUGCUUUAGCAUUCUAGAUGGCUUUGUCAUUUGCAAGCAUUGAUGUUGGGGUAGCAGCUCGUCACCUUCUGCAGCAGCCUCAAACACAAAGUUUACCAUCUUUCCCUAAUCUCCCAACGCCAUCCCGAUCAUUGUUCCCAUGGCCUGGGGCGCUUCCUCCACUUCCUACCACAUUGCCAACAGGACUGCCCCCUCUGCCAAGCAUUCCCUCAGUCCCCACAAUCCCAACUGCAAUUCCCCCUAUUCCUUUCUCUUUUCCACCAUUGCCAUCUUUCCCUAAUCUCCCAAACCUUGGGGCGCUUCCUCCACUUCCUACCACAUUUCCAAGAGGACUGCCCCCUCUGCCAAGCAUUCCUUCAGUCCCCACAACCCCAACUACAGUUCCCUCUAUUCCUUUCUUUUCUCCACCACCUUCUCGUUCUACUCCUUGAAGUACCCCAUUUUUUUAUCUACUGCAUAUUGGAUCUGGUUUAAUAAGGUUUUUAGUCGUCUUUGUGGCUUUAUUAUGAGUACUGAUUUUGCACACUUAUAUUUGUUUGAAUAAAUGGGAUUUCUC
rnacentral:lncRNA from 1 species